rnacentral:lncRNA from 1 species
UCCGCCGCCCUGGCGGCGAUGUAGUCCAUCUCCUCCUUGGUGGUGUCGCGGAUGAAAGCGGCUCAUCGCGGACAUGGCCCUCCGACAAGUUGUCGAAAAACUCCUGCACCUUCUCUGCUGGCGGCUCGCCCGAGGCCGGGUCGAGGCCGUGCACGUUGAAGUCCGGCAUCAUGGCGAUGAUAGCGGACCGGCGAGAGUUGUUUCUCAGCGGGACCACUCCCGCCGGCAACCCAAACAGGGGCCCCUUGACGGCCUUGCCGGUCCUCUCAGCCCAACCAUCGUCGCCCAUGUAGAGCUGAAAGAGCCUCUGACAAAAAUGGGCAUGCCCAGCACCGUGAAGUUAUGCUUCAGGCCAGGGCGGAGCCUCAUGACAUCAGCCGCAUUCCUGAAGUCCCAGGUCGGUCUCCCCUUGUUGUGCAGCGGGGCGAUUCGGCGACGGAUGAAAUCGGCCCCAAUCAUCUCGAGGGUGAGCCCGGCCAUGAUAAGGCGAUGGAUCCUGCUGGUGGCGACCGUGAGCUUCUUGUCGUUGGCGUCGAGGUCGCUCCAGUCCUUGCGGCGGGUUGGCGGGCUCUGACGGACUCGGCAGAACUCCUGCGGAUCCUCCUCCCCGAUCCAGAGCCACCGGCCCUGACACUCUUCUCACCUCUCCUUCUGGGCACCCUCCGGGUACGUGCCCUUCUCCUGGGUCCUCGGGAUCCAGGUAAUGCAGCCAGAAAUAGCAUCCCCUGGCUGGAUGCGAGGAUAGAAGUAGUGGCGGAAGAGUGUCGUGCUGGGAGCACUCCAGCAAAGCCCUCGUAGAGAUGGGCGAAGAAGGCCAUGCACGCCACAGCAUUCGGCGUAAAGCCGAGGAGGUGAAAGCCAUAGGUGUGCAUGAUGUCGUUGAAGAAAUCAGAGAAAGGGGGGCAGAGCCCGCAAGAAAAAUAAUCGACGAAGAAGGGGUACCGAUUUGGGCCGACCUUGGCGGAAUCGGCAGGGACGAUGUGCGUGGAAGGGUGCCCCGUCGUCUUCCUCCCCCACAGGGGCUUGAAUUAGUCCCUGAGAUGGACCGCAUCGACUGUCGAGGGGAAAUAGGCAUGCUGCGCCCACAGCACCGCCAACUCACUCUCCGGCGCCUCUUUCUCCCCGACGUCCUUGGCCACCCCUUUGCCUUUGCCUGUCUUGGGCGCCAUGACGACUGUGAGAGGAUGGAGGAUUAAGGGCAGUAAGGGCGCAGUGGCGGCGAGCAAAGGCAAGAGCUUGAGGAGGAAGAAGGGAGCGACGGUUCCAAGAUUGGAGAAGGCACAGGGGGUAAAUGAGCAGCCUGUCUGUGGUCUCUCCUUUUUAUGGGGAAGGCGCGGGCCGCCUCUUUACCAUUUACCACGAUGUGAUGCAGGCAUGCUGCAACCGCCCCACGCAUGACCCCCACAUCACGCAUUCAACACAGGUCGUGGGGAAGCGCAACUGGCGGGGGAGUUACUGCGAUAUAACUCCGCCACGCGCACACCCGCGCACCGUUCUGGGCCUGGCCCAAUAACGCCCCGCGCUUAUAUGUGGCCUAGGCCCAGGGGCUCCUGUUGGUGUACAAAAGUAGGGGUCCUUUUUUGCACCCCUUUACUUGUGCGCGGGCAGUCACAGCCACACACCCGCAGCCGCGCUUGGCGGGACAGAAGAGGAAGCAAAGACACAAGACUACCAGAGCCGUGCUCAAGACCAGAAGCAUGAAGAGCAGAGGGGCGAGGUGAGACUCCCCCGGCAAGGCCCGUGCCGGGGCGGCCUUCACGGCCACGGCAAGAGCCUUGCCGGGGCAACUUGCCCAACACCAACUGGGCCGCCACCCUUGAGCCUGAGAGUUCCGACACCAUCAACCACAUUGGAACCAAGGCUCGGGAGGCGCCUCCAUGGUGGCAUGCAGAUCUUUGUGAAGACAAAGGGCCUGCGAGGCCUAGGUAGGAACCAGAAAACAAGACAACAACGAGGCUCCUUGCCGGGGAUACCCACGAGGCCCCGGCAAGACUCUUGCCGAGGGCACCCACAAGGCCCCGGCAAGACCCUUGCCGGGAAUAUCAGCAAGACCGUGGAAAGGCCUUGCCGCCCCGUCACCGCCCCAGCUCAGUGGCCGACCCACCAACUAAGCAGGUACCCACGUGGCAGUACGUGGCUCCUAAGCCAACUAGUCAAGCACCUACGUGGUGGCAUGCAGAUCUUCGUGAAGACCCUGCCACCACACCAGCUCAGCAGCCUGCCAGCCUACAUGGCGGUGCAUGCCUCGUUGGCCUGGGCGCGUGUCGGAGCAAGGCGAAGCGGUGACAGAUGAGACGGGCCUCGUUGCCGUCCCCGAUAAAGUAAGAGGACACGUAAGUAGCGCAUUUAAUGUGUUUUGUCCUAUGGUGCCAGAGAUAAACUCGACUAUUGUACAACUUUCCACCUCCUAUGCGCCACUGUGGCAGCCGCUUUGACUAUAAAAGGAGGCCCGCGGCGUACCGAGAGAGGAUUCAGACUUUUUGGACCCUACAUGCUUUGUAGCUAGUCCAAGAACACCAGAUAAACACAAGCCAGCAGGAGUAGGGUAUUACGCAUCACUUGUGGCCCGAACCUGGAUAAAUUUCCCGUGUUGAUCUCUUAAACCCGCUCUUUAGACAGCCCCGCACCCGCCGACCGUAGAAGGGAUUCCCCGUGAUCCCAUAGGUGUCGUUUCCACCGACAGAGCUGAACAUGUGCUGAACGCGGAGGUGCCGUAUGUUUGGUACUCGAUCGGUUGGAGCACGAAGAAGUUCGAAUACAUCAACCGCGUUAACAAACGCUUCCGCUUAUGGUCUACGAGGGUAUGUAGACACACUCUCCCCUCUAUUGCUAUGCAUCUCCAUGGAUAGAUCUUGCGUGUGCUUAGAAUAUUUUUGUUUUCCAUGCAAUGUUCCCAACACAUGGAUCUAUGAAAAUUCAAUUCCCUGAGCUUUUCUCCUUCGUCAUCAAUGAGCUUCAAUCUCUUAAAGGCUUUAUGCAGGCAAACAAUUCACUGAAAACUUUCGUACCCCUCUUUCAAUUCAAGAUUUCACAUAGUUUGAAGAACUGCAAAGCUACACUUAGACCAUACAACUAUCAACAAACAUGAAUAGAUGGAAAUUCUCAUGGGGUAACUCCAACUAUACCCCCAUGAAGUUGUACAAGUGCAUUACUACAGUGGAACCAGGUGAUCCUAUUUUCAAAAGGUUAUGGAAGAAUGCCACCAUGCUCAAAUUCAAGAUAUUCUUCUGGCUACUUAUAUAUGAUAGGGUCAACACCAGAAACCUCCUUCACAGAAAAUCGUUCCAUCUGCCAAGAUAUUCAUGUCAAAUCUGCCAAGAUAAUGUGGAAGAAACAACUCUACAUUUGUUUUGGGACUGCCCAUUUGCACUGGCCUCCUGGGACUCAAUUGUCUCUCACAGAAACAGAGGAAUUUCCAGUCAUGAUGAAAUCAUGUUCAUAAGUCAAUCCUUACCUUCACCCAUUGCAAUGGAGAUAACUAUAAUAGGGUGCUGGCAUAUCUGGAUGCAGAGGAAUGGAAAACUUUUUAAAGCUCAGACACCUUCGGUGCUUUCUUGGAGAACUUUGCUCAGAAAAGACCUGGUGCUUCUCAAGGACAAAGUUAAGCAUAACUUUGAAGAUCAGCUCAACAUUUGUAUUGAGCAACACUUAAGUUAGAUUUUAUCUUAUCCAUCAUGAGUUUCCCUAGAGCUGGCAUUGGAUAGUUUUUUUUGCUCUUGAUUUUUCUUUUUUUCUCCCAUUGUAUAUAUACACUCCUUUUUUAAUAUAUAUCGUAGAAUGAUUGUUCUACUGUUUCCUUUCAAUUUUUUUAAGUUCUCACAUUUAAUUGAGGUCUUCAGUUUAGAACUUGGUCAUCUGAUUUUGACCAGAUCAAUAAUUUCUCAAGGAUCUCUCCCAUUUAAUUAUUUUAAUUCACCAUACUUCCUAGUUUUAAAGCACUUUUAUUCGAUUGAGAUAUUCAAAUAUGAAUUUGGUUUACGAUUUUGAUCAGGCCAACGAUUUUUCAAAUCAAUCAACACCAGCCGUCUAGAAAAAAACAUAUCAACCCCAUGCACCCUCUUACCCCCUAGAGAAAAGAAGCGCUACCAUGUGAUGAUACUAUAGCACCAAUGUAGUACAUGUAGCCACCGACGUAGAAAUUUACCCACAAAAGUAUGAGUUGAUUAGCGCAUAACACAAAAUCACACCAUGAAAGGCCCACUAAAUAACCUCAUUAUAGAUAAACAUAAAACACACUCCAUCCACUCCCCAUCCGCCAAACUAAAUAUUUCAUCAGUUCCAAAAUACAAGGGGUAUUAGUUCUUUGGAAAAGUCAAAUUUCUUUAACUUUAAUCAAGUUUAGAGCCAAAAUAUCGACUUCCUCAAUAUUAACCCAAAAAUGUAUGAAAAUUCAUUUCAUGGUGAAUCUAAUAACAACAAUUUGAUAUUACAAUUUUUGAUAUAUUUCUUAAUAAAUUUGAUCACACUUAAAGAGGUUGGACUUUUCAGACAAAUAACACACCUUAUAUUUUGAAACAAAAUGAGUAAACCUUUUUAAGAAUCUCAACAACACCAACGGUGCAGCAAAACGCCCAACCUUCUAGUAAUAUAUUAAGCUAUGCAUAGUCCACACUUCACACUUUCACGGGCUCGAUCUUACUUUCUGCCCCGAGCCCCCGACGACGCAGGCAAAUGGUCAAUGGCACUGGCGCCACGACCACUGGCCACCACAAUUUUCGUCUGCCGGAUGAUGGCGCUCGUUCUGCAGGCCGCGGCUGAUACAUCUCCAUCGUAUCUACUUUUCCAAACACUUUUGCCCUUGUUUUGGACUCUAACUUGCAUGAUUUGAAUGGAACUAAUCCGGACUGACGCUGUUUUUAGCAGAAUUGCCAUGGUGUUAUUUUUGUGCAGAAAUAAAAGCUCUCAGAAUGACCUGAAACUUCACGGAGAAUAUUUUUAGAAUAUAUUAAAAAUACUGGCGAAAGAAUCAAGACCAGGGGCCCACACCCUGUCCACGAGGGUGGGGGCGCGCCUACCCCCUGGGUGCGCCCCCCGUCUCGUGGCCCCCCUGAGGCUCCACCGACCUCAACUCCAACUCUAUAUAUUCACGUUCGGGGAGAAAAAAAUCAGAGAGAAGGAUUCAUCGCGUUUUGCGAUACGGAGCCGCCGCCAAGCCCUAAAGUCUCUCGGGAGGGCUGAUCUGGAGUCCGUUCGGGGCUCCGGAGAGGGGAAUCCAUCGUCGUCGUCAUCAUCAACCUUCCUCCAUCACCAAUUUCAUGAUGCUCACCGCCGUGCUUGAGUAAUUCCAUCGUAGGCUUGCUGGACGAUGAUGGGUUGGAUGAGAUUUAUCAUGUAAUCGAGUUAGUUUUGUUAGGGUUUGAUCCCUAGUAUCCAUUAUGUUCUGAGAUUGAUGUUGCUAUGACUUUGCUAUACUUAAUGCUUGUCACUAGGGCCCGAGUGCCCCAGGAGCCCAUGCCGCGGACUCCUCGCACGAACUGGUGAUGUGGGCGGCGAUGCCCCCGCGCACUUGGAUUCGCUUUCGCAGUUCUUCUUCGCCGAGAUGCCGCCGAGGGGCCCCCUCGAGCUUUGGCUACAGCACGCCGACUACGACGCCCCGGCGACCGGAGCGGAGGUUGAAGCCGUCUCCCCAGGCAAGAUCUUCAUGACCCGAGGCUGGGGCGAGGUUGCUCGAGUUUGCCGUGCGGAAGGCGCCCUCGCCAUCCAUUUUGAGUAUGAUGGCGCUUCCACCAUGUUCUUCAAGGUCUUCGACGAAGAAGGCCGCCGCCUGGAGUGCUGUCCCGGAGGGGGUUGUCGGGACGGCACAGCGGCCAACUCCGAGCCUGUCGCUGGCUUCGCCAGUAGCUCCUCCAGCGAUAGCGGUGGCGCUUGGGAGUCUAGCAACUCUCCUAAACCCUACGAGACACCAGAGACGAGCGACGAUAGCUACGUGCCCCCGAGCUCUCGCCGCGCCCGGAGCAAGGUCGCUGCGUCUGGCCGCCUCCGUCGCUGAUCUGGAUGGGGUUGGCGCCGGCCUCUCGUGGCCUACUAUUGAUGACGGCGUCGGCCGCGCUGGCGCGUGUAGAUAGGGCUCCUAGAAACUCCCUUCUUUUGUUCCCUACGAGGAAUCGAGAUGGACCACGCGGGGGCGUGUAAAGGGUCUAUAAUAUCUUUUGUUGAUAUUAUCCUUAUUAUGAAAGUUUGCGAGUGCAUGUCUUGUUUCGGCUCGGUCUCCCCUUUCCAACCCCGCGGCAGCUUGGUGCUCUAUGCCGACAGGUCCCGGUCCCCAGGUAGGCUGCAGCCGUCGCUGGUAUGCCAGGUCACGAUGCCGUGGUCAAGGCCAGGAGGUGAGCGGCCCGAGGUCCAGUAAGAGCUCCUGAGGCACGAUGCUCAAGAGGUCCCCUUUAGCGCGCAAGCAGCCACCGAGAGGUAGGAAAGGGAGGCGACGUUGCAAUAACAAGGCUACAUGAGCGAGAGUCCUAUGCCGUAGCGCUUGGUCGACCCGGGCGCGAAACUUAUCUUGGCAGUCAAGAGUCGGUUCCUUGUGCUCCGCCAGACCCACGCGUCGACGGCCGUAGUGUAGCUAGGUUGGGCCCCUGCGAGCCUCCCCCUCUUCUUCACGCUCUUCUAUGUGCUCUACGUCCUCAGGUCCUGGCCCUCGAGCGAGCUCAGCCGCCGCUGGUAUGCCAGGUCGUGAUGCCGUGGUCAAAGCCAGGGGGUGAGGGCUGGAGAGCCAGUAAGAGCUCCUGAGUCGCGAUGCUCAGGAGCCCCUCUUUUAACGCGCAAGCGAAUCACAUGGGAGAAGAGGGAGCCCGCGGUACUACCUGCUGUUGUCCUCGGGAGGUUCCUGCAGGUUAGCGCAAGGAGGGAUACAGAUUGCCACUAUGAUUGCCGGUCUGCCACUGGUCGCUCCGCAAGAAGAUGAAGGCACUGAGGGCCUGGUGAGGUGACGUGCACUGGGCGUGCCGCGAGUCAGAGCUCGACCGCUCAGAUUUGUCGGCGUUGCAGGGACGGACCCGGGCACAAGCGUCGUGCCAGCGUGAGUAGCUCCCGUUGCGGGAUGAGCAUGGGGCAGAUCGGCGACGCGGGCGGUCAUGAUGGGUGACAAUCAAGCAGGUGAUAACCAUAGAUAGCUUAUGCAUGGAAAGCGAACUAGCUGAAGUAAAUGCACGAACGAUACAUGCCAUUGGGUCGGACCCGAGCGGCAUGGGGAUGAUGCAGCCCGAGGGGCGCCCCCAGCAGAGCAAGCUAAAGACGUAAAAGGAUACAUGCCGCAGGGACAGGCUCACGCGGCCUGGGAAUGAUGCAGCCCGGGGGGCACUCCCAGCUAAAUAAACUUGGAAAAUGUCACCUGGUUCCGUUGUCGAAGGGAUGUUGGGGUAGCUGAAGAUGCGUGGCGAAGGGGUUGCUCCUCAUGAGCCACUAGGGCCCUGAGGCUCGGGAUGCUCUAGGGGUCCAGGCGGUUCCUUGUUGACCGUCUCCAUCUCCGCCAGGACCGCGUGAUGCCUGGCCUCCUGGGUCGCCAGGACGCCCCGCAGGUUGCGCUGGAAGGCGGCCGCCAUGCUCGGUAGGCUGAAUGGCAUGCGAACAUAGCUGUGGGGUGGGCCCUCGCAACGUCCCACACGCGAAGGCUAGAAGCGCUCCUGAGAUGCGGCCCUGUUGAGCCCUGGGAAGUCGAUGCAGACGCGCAGCCUGCCAUCCUCGCCUGGAUGGGGAGCUGCACCAGGUGGGCGGCGAUCGCCGCGCAUGGCCCUUGCAUCCUGCAGCUCCUGAGUGGUCUUGGCGAUGAACUCCUGAGCGCCGGGCACUCCUCGCCCAGUGUCCUCCUAAGGGAAACGUGCCGCAAAGCAAUCCUCCACGUGGUGCCCGAGCGCCUCCCUCGUGAUGUUGGCUAGGUCUGAGGCCCUCCAGAAGAGAGCCCCCGAGCCUUGCCCGAGGAGGGCGCCGGACGCGCCUUCCUAUGCGAGGGAGGGAGGCACCCCACGUGCGGGCGCCGAUCCUGAUGUGGCACCUCUAAAGGCGCCGCUCCCCUGAGGCCCUGCAUGGAGUAGUUGCUUCUUCUUGUUGGGGAUGGCCUCAGGAGGGUAUAUGGUGCCUUAGUUGUCGGGGUCUUCGAUUGCUGCGGCUUGGAAGGCACGCUCGAGGGAACACACCGCAUCCCUUUCUUUGUAGGGGACUGUGAUGACCCCGCUGCUUCUUGGCAUCUUGAGGACGUUGUAGCCAUGGUGGGUCACUGCCAUGAACUUGGCCAGCGCUGGGUACCCGAGGAUGGCAUUGUAUGGCAGACGGAUGUGAGCGGCAUCGAAGUCGAUGAGCUCGGUGCGGUAGUUGUCGCGCUGUCCAAAGGUGACAGGGAGGCGGACCUGGCCUAUCGGGGUGGUGGACCCGUCAGUCACUCCUGAGAAGGGCUUGGUGGGCUGAAGCUGAUCGUACGACACUUGAAGGCUGUCGAAUGUCUCGACGGACAGGACGUUAAGCCCUGUACCACCAUCGAUGAGGGUCUUGGUGACUUGUAUGUUGCUGAUGACGGGUGAGUAAAGCAUCGGGAGGGCGCCGGCGGUGGCCGCGUACUUGAGCUGGUCCGCCGAGCUGAAGGCGAUGGCGCACUUGGACCACCUGAGCGGGCGCGUGGCCUCAAGCCUGGGAAGGGCUGCGUUCACCUCGCGAGCAAACUGCUUGAAGAUACGCUGAGAUGCUGGGGCCUGAGCUCCGCCCAAGGUGCAGGCGAUAGCUCGCGGUUCCUGGAAGCCCCCAGCCCCCUCGUCCUGAUGGUGGUCGUUGACCGGGCGGUAGUGCAGGAGCUCGUGUGCCAUGAGCAGCGUGGCCUGCGCGUCCGUGGGAGCGCGACGAGCGUGAGACGAUGAGCCGGCUGGGGUCAGCGACAGAGUGGCGGUGCGGCCGUCCCGCCGCAUAGAAGGGUGCAGUGAGGACACUUGUUGCUCGUUUCCCACCGGACCGGUGGCGGCGUCGGUGACGGGUGACGGGGAACGAUGGGGAGGCCCGCCGACAGGAGCUGUCUGAGCGUCGCGGGCGGCGAGGGCUUCCCGGCGCUCAGCGCGGGUUCGACGUGCGUCCGCCAUGGAUGCGAUGGAGCGACGGAACGCGGAUCGGCUAAAGGAAAGCUUCGGUGCACCCCUACCUGGCGCGCCAAAUGUCGGAUUUUGGGUUCCGGCAAAACCCUCGAGGUUUGAACACUGGGGUGCGCACGAAGAUCUCCCCUCCCCCUAGCUCACGCCCUCACCGCGAUCUCAAAGCUCAGCGCGUCGAACUCACAGAACAAGAGACACAAGGUUUAUACUUGUUCGGGCCACCGAUGUGGUGUAAUACCCUACUCAAGUGUGGUGUGGUCGAUUGCCUCUUGUGCUCGGUGAGCUUGUGGAUGUGAGGAUGGAAUGGAUCCAAUCCAAGAUGAGUUCAGUCUCGUUUCCCCCUCCCUACUGUGGUGGCUAGUCCUAUUUAUAGAGGCCCUGGUCCUCUUCCCAAAUCCUGGCGGGAAGGGAUGCCACAACGGCCAAAUUCGAAGGGAGACAACUAGUACAUGUUAUCCUGACUAAAGGUGGUCUUCGCCUGCCAAAGGCUCUGGUGGUGACACCGUCUUGGGCUCCAUGGUGACCUCCGUCCUACCGUCCUGCUGGUCUUGGUCUCGUUGCACCGAUAUGGAAACCUUUGCCUGAUGCCUCGGGACUCCUCGCCUGCGCUUGCCUCUUUAGCACCAAAGAGGAAACGAGGACACUACGCGCGCUGGCGCCCGCCUAGCGCCCACCUGGCCCCGGUCGUCAUGGCUUACGUCACAGGAACCUCGCGAGGUGCCCCUUGCCUCGAUCUCUCCGCCCCUCGCGAGCCAGCCUGGUGAGGCCGCCCCCGAGGAGGUCUUGCGUCGUCCGCCUCGCGAGGCUUGGCCCCUUGCGAGGGUCUUGAGUGUUUGCUGGUGAAGAUGGGCCGUACAGGGCCGCUGGUGGAGCCACGCCAUGGGCCGCAAGCAGGCAAGUCUGGGGACCCCCAUUCCAGGACGCCGACAACCCCUGGACCCUUAUCGACAGUCUGUUUAUCAGUGGGAUCCGAAGGAGAUCGCCAUGCAGUGGCACCCAGAGGACACUCCUCAGUACACCGGAGAGGACCAUUUUGAUCCAUGGGCAUAUACCAACUUAGGCCAAAAGCCUAAGCUUGGGGGAGUACGUAUUUCUCAUCGACAUUACAUUCAUGUUCACACACUCAUGCUAGUUGUCGGUGCUCAUACUUUUUCAUUAUACUAUCCAUGCUAGUUUAUUUUCCCUUUUCUCGGUUUCUUCUUGUGUGCUUCAAAAACCUUAAGAAAAACAAAAAAAAUUAGUUUUAGCUUUUAGCUAGUUUACUUUUCAUGCCUGUAGUAGUAAUUAAAAGAAAAUUUCUCGUUCUUCGUUUUCUUGUUGGGAGCUUUCCCUUGUAAAUAGUUUUAUUUCCUUACUUUUUCUUUGGGGGUCGAGAGGAGAAGACCAUAAUGAAAAUGUUGAAGUGGCUCUUAUAUGCAUUAUUGUUGAUUUAACCAGGAGCCCAUAUUACCUUGUCUUCUCCCUUGAAUUAAAUGCUUGCAAAUUCCAGCUUAGUCCAAUGCACGUGCACUAUUAUUAUUAUCCACAUCAUUCGGUCGUGCAAGUGAAAGGCAAUAAUGACGAUAUAGGAUGGACUGAUUGACAUGAGAGAAGCUGGUAUGAACUCGACCUCUCUUGUUUUUGUAAAUAUGAUUAGUUCAUCGUUCCUGAUUCAGCCUAUUAUAAAUGAAACAUGUUUGCAAUGACAAUGAGAGAUUAUAGUUGCUCAUGCCAUGCUUAAUUAGCUAGGAGUUUAUAAUGGUUUACCUUGCAUGCCAACAUGCUAUUAAAUGGUUGUGAUGUGGUAUGAUAGGGUGGUAUCCUCCUUUAAACGAUUCGAGUGGCUUGACUUGGCACAUGUUCACACAUGUAGUUGAAACAAAAUCAACAUAGCAUCCAUGAUAUUUAUGUUCAUGGUGAAUUAUAUCCUACUCAUGCUUGCACUCAGUGUUGAUUAAUUUUAAUGCAUGUUCAUGACUGUUGUCGCUCUCUAGUUGGUCUCUCCCCAGUCUUUUUCUAGCCUUCAUGUAACGCCCAACGAUGCGGCUAUAUCUCCCACGUGUCGAGGCACGACUUAGAGCCAUAACCGCAUUGUGGUUUUGUCGCAAGAAGGGUCAUCUUCACACAAUCCCAUGUAAUGAACAAGAAUGGGAUAACGAGAGUUGGCUUACAAUCGCCACUUCACACAAUACAUAAAUAUAAUACAUACAUCAUCCAAAAAUACACACAUAGACCGACUACGGUCAAGAUCCAAAUGAAAAUAAGAUAACCCCAAAUGCUAGAUCCCCGAUCAUCCCAACUGGGCUCCACUACUGAUCAUCAGGAAAAGAAACAUAGUAACGACCAUGUUCCUCGUCGAACUCCCACUUGAGGUCGAUCCCAUCAUCUGCACUGGCAUCGUCGGCACCUGCAACUGUUUUGGUAGAAACUGUGAGUCACGAGGACUCAGCAAUCUCACACCCGCGAGAUCAAGACUAUUUAAGCUUAUAGGAAAGGAUGGUGUAAUGAGGUGGAGCUGCAGCAGGCACUAAGCAUAUAUGGUGGCUAACAUACGCAAAAGAGGGCGAGAAGAGAAGCAACGGAACGGUCGUCAUCUAGCAAUGACCAAGAAGUGAUCCUGAACUCCUACUUACGUCAUUCAUAACUCAAACCGUGUUCACUUCCCGGACUCCGCCGAGAAGAGACCAUCACGGCUACACACGCGGUUGAUGUAUUCUAAUUAAAUCAAGUGACAAGUUCUCUACAACCGGACAUUAACAAAUUCCCAUCUGCCUCAUAACCGCGGGCACGGCUUUCGAAAGGUAAUACCCUGUAGGGGUGUCCCAACUUAGCCCAUCAUAAGCUCUCACGGUCAACGAAGGAUAAACCUUCUCCCGGAAAGACCCAAUCAGUCUCGGAAUCCCGGUUUACAAGACAUUUCGACAAUGGUAAAACAAGACCAGCAAAGCCGCCCGAUGUGCCGAAUCCCGAUAGGAGCUGUACAUAUCUCGUUCUCAGGGCAACACCGGAUGAGACUAGCUACGAGUAAAACCAGUCCUCAAGUUUCCCCAAGGUGGCCCCGCAGGCAGCUCGGUUCGAACCAACACUCGAAGGAGCACUGGCCCGUGGGGGUCUAAAAUAAAGAUGGCCCUCGGGCUCGCGAAAACCCAAGGGAAGUGUAGGUGGUAGGUGGUCAAAUGGUAAAACCAAGGUUGGGCCUUGCUGGAGGAAUUUUAUUCAAGGCGAACUGUCAAGGGGGUCCCAUAAAUCACCCAACUGCGUAAGGAACGCAAACUCAAGGAACAUAAUACCGGUAUGACGGAAACUACGGCGGCAAGAGUGGAACAAAACACCAGGCAUAAGGCCGAGCCUUCCACCCUUUACCAAAUAUAUAGAUGCAUUAAUUAAAUAAGAGAUAUUGUGAUAUCCCAACAUGUCCAUGUUCCAACAUGGAACCAACUUCAACUUCACCUGCAACUAGCAACGCUAUAAGAAGGGCUGAGCAAAAGCGGUAACUUAGCCAAACAACGGUUUGCUAGGAAACGAUAGUUAGAGGCUGACAUGGCAAUAUGGGAGGCAUGAUAUGGCAAGUGAUAGGUAGCGCAGCAUUGCAAUAGAGCGAACAACUAGCAAAGCAAAGAUAGAAGUGAUUUCGAGGGUAUGGUCAUCUUGCCUGCAAGGUUCUCAGAGUUGUCGAAAGCUUGAUCCUCGUAAGCGUACUCAACAGGUUUCUUGUUCACGAACUCGUCUCUCGGCUCUACCCAAAACAAGAACACAAGCAACGGAACCACAAUCAAUCACGGGAAAAUGCACAAGCAACAUGAUGCAAAACAUGAAUGAUAUGCAAGAUAUGAUAUGCGAUGCAUAUGCGUGCUCCGGAAGGAAAAUGACGAAAAAGGCAGUAACUUGGAAAACCAAGCAUUCCACUGGAAAGAUGAGAUGAUUUCGGUCGAAAUCGAUAUAAAGAUCACCGGAAAUGGAUGCACGGUUUGCAAAUGGCAAGCAAAACAAGAAUGACACGAAUCUACGAUUAACAGCAUGAUAGCACUUAGAAUGCAACAAGUAACAAUGCUACAGCACUCCAACAUAGCAAAAAAGCAUAUGUAUGUAAUCUACAGGAUAUGCUUAACAAAAGAUGAACACUGAGCUACGGCUAGUUCACAACAUAACAGGUUCAAACAAGCAUGGCAAAAGUGCAAAAGAUAUCAGGUUCACAGACUUGGUGAAAUUACUGGACAUGUCUGAAACAGCAUCAGGUAGCAAUGUUCAGAGCACGAAAAGAACAUGCUACGGGAACUUAACAUGGCAAAACAAGGCAUGGCAGUAUUCUACUAAAUGCAUAUGACAAAAGUCCCUUACUGACCAUAAGCGAAAAAGGACCAGAAGAUAUGAUGGCAACCAUGUAAACAUAGUAAGACUUAGCAGAAAACAAAGCGUGGCAGAAACAAUAAUAUGAAGGCAUCUUGGUGAGCUUGAUGCACUCACCAAAAAGCAAUGCAUGACAAAACAAGCAUACCUACAGCAAGAUGGCAUGUUCAUGAAGCUAUUCAUGGCAAGAUAAAGUACAUAACAUGUAUGGAUCAACUACAACAAGCUUGGCAAAAUUGAAUAACACGUAAACAAUCUGCCAGAAAUAUUUUAUAGCAAAAGUAGAGCAAGAUUUAGUCAUGCUAUGGCACUCCAUAAUUUCAAACAAGGGCAUGAAUGGAUCAAUUACAACAAUAGAUACAAAAUAUCCUUACUGAACAUCUCCAAAAUAGGCAUGGAUCUCUCUGUAGCCACAUGAAUACAUAGCACCAAAAUAACAACAGUCACAGACUUGGAGAAAUUACCAAGUCCCUGAAAUCAGAAACAUUACGGAGCCUAUCUUGCAUGCUUGUGCUAGUCACCACAGAGAUCACAAAACAACAUGGCAUACACCACUAGAAAGAUGGCAUGGCAUACAACAAAACACAUGUAGAGCUCAUUCCCAUAAGAUGCACAGAUUAAAUGCAACAAAAAUAAACAAUCCUCAAGUUCUGAUAAGUAACAGCAGACAACAGCAACUAGCACUCUUGCACCAGAGAUUUGGGCAUCAAGAUGGACUCAAAUGAACAUGGAGCAAUGGAACAAAAUGAAGAGCAUCACGAAGCGAACAUUUUGAUAUAUUACAUGCACCAAACGGAGCUAUAUGGAGAGAGUUAUGAUGCAAUGAACAUGUGCACAUAUUGUAAAAAUAUUAGGACUUGGAGAUAUGUUCGGGGAGAGGGAGGAAGAAGUCAACCAGAUCUGGAUCGGGGCUCGGCGGCGGCGCGAGCUUGGGGACGGCCGGAGUUCGCCGGAGCAGUGGGGAGACGACGGCGAGGGAGAGGACGGCAGCCGGGCGGCGGAGGAAGAGGAGGACGGCGAGGAGGUCGGGCGGCGGCGUCGGGCGCCGGGCGCGCUCGGGNNNNNNNNNNNNNNNNNNNNNNNNNNNNNNNNNNNNNNNNNNNNNNNNNNNNNNNNNNNNNNNNNNNNNNNNNNNNNNNNNNNNNNNNNNNNNNNNNNNNNNNNNNNNNNNNNNNNNNNNNNNNNNNNNNNNNNNNNNNNNNNNNNNNNNNNNNNNNNNNNNNNNNNNNNNNNNNNNNNNNNNNNNNNNNNNNNNNNNNNNNNNNNNNNNNNNNNNNNNNNNNNNNNNNNNNNNNNNNNNNNNNNNNNNNNNNNNNNNNNNGGUCGGGCCCCGCGAGCCAGGCGCGGGCCGCGCAGGCCGGCGGCGGGGACAUGUGUCGCGCGCCCGUUGGCUCGGGCGGCGGCGGCUUCGUCCGGCGGGGUACGGACGUGUCCGGUGACGGCGGAGGCGAAAAUUAGGGUUUGGGACUGCGAGAUCCCGGGGGGAGGUGCAAAUAUAUAGGUAGGGGGAGCUAGGAGAGUCCAAACGGAGUGCCGUUCGCCCACACGAUCGUGAUCGAACGACCUAGAGCAUGGAAGAGACUUAGAGGGGUUUUGGUGCUGUUUAGAGAGGGGUUUUUGCUGCACACACAAACGGACUUUGCGGUUACCCGGUUAACCGUUGGAGUACCGAACGACCUCCAAAUGGAACGAAACUUGACCGGUGGUAUACCAAGGCCACUUGAGAAGCCUCGGUCCAUUCCGAGAACGUUCAACACCCGCUCACGAAAAGAAAACAAGAGGGGUGCGCCGAAGGAGAUGGGAGUGCCGGAUUGCAAAACGGACAACGGGGAAAAUGCUCGGAUGCAUGAGACGAACACGUAUGCAAAUGCAAUGCACAUGAUGACAUGAUAUGAGAUGCACGACGAAAACAAAAUGCAAAACGAAAAAAAAACCGACCACGAAGGGAAUAUCAUAACACAUAGCCGAAAAUGGCAAGAGUUGGAGUUACAAAUAUGGAAAGUUACAUCCGGGGUGUUACACUUCACUUGUACUAAGUGGGAAUACUGCUUGUGCAUCCACUUCCAUAAACCCCAAAGUUAUUCCAUAUGAGUCCACCAUACCUUCCUAUAUGCGGUAUAUAUAUCUGCCAUUCCAAGUAAAUUUGUAUGUGCCAAACUCUAAACCUUCAAAUGGAAUUCUGUUUUGUAUGCUCGAAUAGCUCAUGUAUCAACUAGGGUUGUCUGUAUCUUCCAUGCUACGCGGGUUAUUCUCAAGAGGAGUGGACUCCGCUCCUCACUCACGAGAAAAUGGCUGGUCACCGGGAUGCCCAGUCCCAUGCUCAAACCAAAUCAAAAUAAUUGCAAACAAAACUCCCCCGGGACUGUUGUUAGUUGGAGGCACCCGUUGUUUCGGGCAAGCCAUGGAUUGAUGCUUGUUGGUGGCGGGGGAGUAUAAACUUUACCAUUCUGUUUGGGAACCGCCUAUAAUGUGUGUAGCAUGGAAGAUAUCGAGAUCUCUCAGUUGUUAUGUUGACAAUGAAAGUAUGCCACCCAAAAUAUUAUUUAUCUCUAUUUCAAAAAUCGAGCUCUGGCACCUCUACAAAUCCCUGCUUCCCUCUACGAAGGGCCUAUCUAUUUACUUUUAUGCUGAGUCAUCAUCCUCUUAUUAAAAAGCACCAGUUGGAGAGCACCGCUGUCAUUUGCAUCCAUUACUAUUAGUUUAUAUUGAGUAUGACUAUGACUGGAUCUCUUUUACCAUGAAUUACAAUGUUUAGUCAGUCCUUAAUCUUCAGAGGUGCUCUGCAUUUAUGUUUUGUGGUCUCAAAAAGGGCUAGCGAGAUACCAUCUUGUUAUAUCAUAUUAUGAUUGUUUUGAGAAAGUGUUGUCAUCCAAGAUUUAUUAUUAUUGCUCGCUAGUUGAUUAUGCCAUUGAUAUGAGUAAACAUGAGACCUAAGUGUUAUUGCGAAUAUGGUUAGUUCAUAAUCUUUGUUGAAAACUUGAAUUUUGGCUUUACAUAUUUACAACAACAAGAGCAAACAGAGUUUGUAAAAGUUUUUCUUUAUCACUUCCAGUUUGUCAACUGAACUGCUUGAGGACAAGCAAAGGUUUAAGCUUGGGGGAGUUGAUACGUCUCCAUCGUAUCUACUUUUCCAAACACUUUUGCCCUUGUUUUGGACUCUAACUUGCAUGAUUUGAAUGGAACUAACCCGGACUAACGUUGUUUUCAGCAGAAUUGCCAUGGUGUUAUUUUUGUGCAGAAAUAAAAGUUCUCGGAAUGACCUGAAACUUUACGUAGAAUAUUUUUGGAAUAUAUUAAAAAUACUGGCGAAAGAAUCAAGACCAGGGGGCCCACACCCUGUCCACAAGGGUGGGGGGCGCGCCCCCUGUCUCGUGGGCCCCCUGAGGCUCCACCGACCUCAACUCCAACUCUAUAUAUUCACGUUCGGGGAGAAAAAAAUCAGAGAGAAGGAUUCAUCACGUUUUACGAUACAGAGCUGCCGCCAAACCCUAAACUCUCUCGGGAGGGCUAAUCUGGAGUCCGUUUGGGGCUCCGGAGAGGGGAAUCUGUCGUCGUCAUCAUCAUCAACCUUCCUCCAUCACCAAUUUCAUGAUGCUCACUGCCGUGCAUGAGUAAUUCCAUCGUAGGCUUGCUGGACGGUGAUGGGUUGGAUGAGAUUAAUCAUGUAAUCGAGUUAGUUUUGUUAGGGUUUGAUCCCUAGUAUCCAUUAUGUUCUGAGAUUAAUGUUGCUAUGACUUUGCUAUGCUUAAUGCUUGUCACUAGGGCCCGAGUGCCAUGAGUUCAGAUCUGAACCUAUUAUGUUUUCAUGAAUAUAUAUGAGUUCUUGAUCCUAUCUUGCAAGUCAUUAGUCACCUACUAUGUGUUAUGAUCCGGUAACCCCGAAGUGACAAUAAUCGGGACCACACUCCCGGUGAUGACCGUAGUUUGAGGAGUUCAUGUAUUCACUAAGUGUUAAUGCUUUGGUACGGUACUCUAUUAAAAGGAGGCCUUAAUAUCCCUUAGUUUCCAACAGGACCCCGCUGCCACGGGAGGGUAGGACAAAAGAUGGCAUGCAAGUUCUUUUCCAUAAGCACGUAUGACUAUAUUCGGAAUACAUGCCUACAUUACAUUGAUGAACUGGAGCUAGUUCUGUGUCACCCUAUGUUAUAACUAUUGCAUGAGGAAUCGCAUCCGACAUAAUUAUCCAUCACUGAUCCAUUGCCUACGAGUUUUUCACAUAUUGAUCUUUGCUUAGUUACUUUACCACUGCCACUGUUACGAUUACUACAAAACUGCUACUGUUACUUUUGCCACCCUUAUCGUUACUUCCAUACUACUUUGCUACUAAAUACUUUGCUGCAGAUAUUAAGUCUUUCAGGUGUGGUUGAAUUGACAACUCAAUUGCUAAUACUUGAGAAUAUUCUUUGGCUCCCCAUGUGUCGAAUCAAUAAAUUUGGGUUGAAUACUCUACCCUCGAAAACUGUUGCGAUCCCCUAUACUUGUGGGUUAUCAAGACUGUUUUCUGGCGCCGUUGCCGGGGAGCAUAUCUCUAUUCUUUGAGUCACUUGGGAUUUAUAUCUGCGGAUCACUAUGAGGAACUUGAAAGACGAGAAAACCAAGAGGACUUAGUCCGGAAAGGAGAUAUUCAUUACCAUAGUCAUACAUGCCAGACUUCUAGGGUUUAGCCAUUACGAUCUCAUGGUACAUCAACUCUUGUAAUACUCAUAUUCAUUAAGAUCAAUCAAGCAGGAAGUAGGGUAUUACCUCCAUAGAGAGGGCCCGAACCUGGGUAAACAUCGUGUCCCCUGUCUCCUGUUACCAUCGACCUUAGACACACAGUUCGGGGCCCCCUACCCGAGAUCCGCCGGUUUUGACACCGACAUUUGUGCUUUCAUUGAGAGUUCCACUACGCCGUCCCCAAAAGGUUCGAUGGCUCCUUCAAUCGUCAACAACAAUGCUAUCCAAGGGGAAACCUUCCUCCCUGGACAGAUCCUUGUGUUUGUCGGCUUCGUACUGCGGGCCAACUCGCUUGGCCACAUGGAGCAGAUCGAUAGCUACGCCCCUGGCCAUCAGAUCAGAUUUGGAGCUCGAAUUACAUCACGGACAUCCGUGGAGAUUUAAUCCUCGCCAGAUUCGAGACCGCGGCAACCGCUCCUAGUCACCCCGAUGAACAUGACCUAAAUCUGUCGUCGGGCCGCAUCCAGGAGAUUGCUCCUGUAACUGCUCCGGCCGUAGAUCCGGAGCAUAUUGCGCUGUCCGAGGAUGGGAGGGUCAACCCCAUCGCGGAUGCCGCAGAUUCCACGGUAUUGGAGGCGAACAUAGACCUAAAGUCACACGUCGUCUUUGUCACCGGAACUCCGGACUCGUCUCCGGUCAUAAAUUCCGAGCCAUGUGCAUCCGCGGAUGCCGAACUGGAUCGCUUAUCAAUCUUUGGGUUUAGCGCCGCAGACAUCUUCCAGCAUUCACCCUUGGGCGAUGUGCUAAAUUCGUUAAGAAAUCUAUCCUUGGCGGGGGACUCACAGCCGAAUUAUGUCCGGUUCGAACUGGAGGCUGAUGACGAAGGAGAAUUUCGCUUCCCACCCACCACCCACUUCGUAGCCACUGUCGAAGACUUAACCGACGCACUUGACUAUGACUCCGAAGACAUCGACGGUAUGGACCACGAUGCCGGAGACGAGGAGGUCCAAAACCCACCGUUCAAUGGACGAUGGACGACCACCUCGUCAUAUGACGUCUACAUGGUAGAUACGCCGAAGAAUAAUAGCGGCGAUGACAAAGAAAACCCAGCAAAGGAGGACCCUCCCAAAAUACAACCAAAGUGCCGGCGUCUGCGGCGCUGCUCUAAAUCCCGCCGCAGCAGGGACAGCAACAUCGGCACAGGAGACGACAACACUCCGGAUGGUGCCGAAGACACAGAAGAACCUGAUGAACAAACUGCUGAACGAGACAGUCAAGAGUCAGGGCACGCCAGCCCUGACGAACAGGCCAUAGAAGAAGACUCGGAGGACGGUAGUUACCAUCUGCCCUCCGAGGAUGAGGAAAGCCUCGGCAACGAAGAUUUUAUCGUGCCUGAGGAACCCCUCGAGCAGGAGCGCUUCAAGCGCCAGCUAAUAGCCACCGCAAGGAGCUUGAAAAAGAAACAACAUCAGCUUCAAGCUGACCAAGAUCUACUCGUCGACAGAUGGACUGAUGUCCAGGCUGCAGAAGAAUACGGCCUCAGACGCCCAGCCAAGAGCUACCCAAAGCGAAGGUUGCUACCUCAGUUCGAUGAAGAGGCGCCGGAGCCCAUACCUCCCUCACGUAACGCGGCCGACCGAACAUUACGCGAUCGGGACAGUGCGGCGGAUCGACCACCACAUGGUCGGGAUAGAGCGACAAUUCAAGCCGAACAGUCCGCCCCACCGCCACGAAAAAAUAGAGACAAAACAGUUUGGGGUCAUACAUAUGACCUCCGGCAAACCCUGGGUAGUAGACCAGGAGAUACAAGAUCGAUCUACGGAUCGAGAGGACGUGCCUUGACACACGACGACAGCUAUCUAUUCGGACGUGACAAACCUAAUCACGCUCGAGCCGAUAACAAUAGACAGACUCCACCGGAGCUACGUCGCGACGCGGCCCGCUAUAGAGGCGCUGCACACCCUCUUUGCUUCACUGAUGAAGUAAUGGACCAUGAAUUCCCCGAAGGGUUCAAGCCCGUCAAUAUUGAAUCAUACGACGGAACAACCGAUCCCCCGGUAUGGAUCGAGGAUUUUAUUCUCCACAUUCACAUGGCCCGCGGAGAUGACCUCCAUGCUAUCAAAUACAUCCCACUAAAACUCAAAGGGCCAGCUCGGCACUGGUUAAACAGCCUGCCUGAAAAUUCUAUUGGCAGCUGGGAGGACUUGGAAGAAUCCUUUCUCGACAACUUCCAAGGUACAUAUGUCCGGCCGCCGGACGCCGAUGACUUAAGCCACAUAAUUCAACAACCCGGGGAGUCAGCCAGGAAAUUCUGGACUAGGUUCCUAACUAAAAAAACAGAUCGUCAAUUGUCCGGAUGCAGAAGCCCUAGCGGCCUUUAAACAUAGCAUCCGCGACGAAUGGCUCUCCCGCCACCUCGGCCAGGAAAAGCCGAAAUCUAUGGCCGCCCUCAUGACCCUCUUUUGUGCGGGUGAGGACAGUUGGCUGGCUCGUAGUAAAAAUAUGGCCAGCGAGGCAGCCCCCUCCGAGGCCAAAAACAGCAACAGCAAGCGCCGACACAGCAGACACAAACGCCAAAGCAAUGGCGAUAGCACCAAUGAAACUGCUGUAAACGCCGGAUUCAGUGGCUCCAAGUCCGGUAAGCGGAAAAAGCCGUAUCAAAGAAACAAUCAGGGACCAUCUAGCAUGGACCGCAUACUCAACCGUCCGUGCCAAAUUCACGGCACCCCGCACAAACCAGCCAAUCAUACCAACAGAGACUGCUGGAUUUUUAAGCAAGCCGGCAAGUUAAACGCCGAGAAUAAGGAAAAGGGAUCACAGAGCGAGGACGAUGAUGAGGAGCCCCUGCAGCCAAUCAUAGGGGGACAGAAGAAGUUUCCCCCUCAAGUCAAAACAGUGAACAUGAUAUAUGCUACACACAUCCCCAAAAGGGAGCGCAAGCGCGCACUAAGGGACGUUUAUGCGAUAGAGCCAGUCACCCCAAAAUUUAACCCCUGGUCAUCAUGCCCGAUCACUUUUGAUCGUCGGGAUCAUCCGACUAGUAUCCGGCACGGCGGUUCAGCCGCACUAGUUCUCGACCCAAUCAUUGAUGGAUUUCACCUGACACGCGUCCUUAUGGAUGGAGGCAGCAACCUCAAACUGCUUUAUCAGGAUACAGCGCGAAAAAUGGGCAUCAAUCCAUCACGGAUCAAGCCCACAAAGACUACCUUCAAGGGAGUCAUACCAGGUGUCGAGGCCCGCUGCACGGGCGUAAUCACGCUAGAAGUUGUCUUCGGGUCUCUGGACAAUUUCCGAAGCGAGGAAUUAAUCUUCGACAUCGUCCCCCUUCGCAGCGGCUAUCACGCACUACUCGGAUGAACCACGUUCGCUCGAUUCAAUGAAGUGCCACACUAUGCCUAUCUUAAGCUCAAAAUGCCCGGUCCACACGACGUCAUCACGGUCAACGGAAAUACGGAACGUCCCUCCGUAAAGAGGAGCACACCGCCGCCCUAGCAGCAGAAGUACAGAAUGGCCUUCUCAAGCAGAACUGUAAUCCAGCUGCCGAGCCACUGGACACCGUUAAGAAGGUCCGGAUUACACUACAGCAGGACAGCUCGGCUCAUCAAGAGCUCGAUUAGCAAUUUGACCUCCGUCCCAGCCCCGAUCAGGCAGUGGCAUUUGUACCACGCGUACAUAAUUAUGCACUAGAAAUCCCAUGGGCAUCGACGGAGGCACAGCUAAGUUGCGGUCCACAGUUCAGCUUGACCAAUCCCGGACACACAUAUACUGUCAAAUUUUUUCUUUUUCCUUUUCCAGGUUUACUUAGGCCUUUUUCAAAUGGCCCGACCACCGAUCCUGUUAAAGGACACAAAGACCAAGGAGGCAAGGAGCUUUGAUGUACAAGGGAAUCCCCAGGUGGUCUCUGCUAAUGAUUGCUAUACCUAUUUUACAUACCCGCAUGCAGCUCGCUCUUGGUCAUGGCAUGUUAAAAUAGCCUUAUUUGCUUAUCGCAUUUCUUGUAUAAGUACGCCUCAGCGUAUUCAUCACAAUACAAUGGUAACAUCAGCUUAUUACUUGAUUUUCUCCUGGACUUUGUACUUAUUACUCAUCGAACCCGUACACUCUGGUACGUAUCACUUCGCCAGGGGCUUCAGCACGCCCCGUAGUACGGCAAUCAAGUCCGAACACUUUUUACAGUACGGUUCGGCACCCUGAACUUAUAGCAUUAUAUGCAUCGGCUCCGAAUCAUGUCUUUGGUCAAUAGUUGGGUUGCCCGGCUCAUGUUCUUACUACCUUAUGUUCUGCUAUAUUGGCUAGGGUAGUAAAGGGAGAACUACUGCGAUUGUGUCCUGGUUCUUCCGGACGAGCACCUCAGUAGAGAAAGCCGAAAACUGACUGUCAUGAUGCAGCGAGAGCUGGUCAGAUGUUCGAGAGGUUUCAAAUCCUUAGAGAUUUUUUUCCGCUUUAUGCAAGGAAUCGGUUUUUAUCCGAUCAGGCAUAUUUAGUGCCCCUAGCUCGGUCUUCCGAAUACCAGGGGCUUCGCCAAGAUUCUUAUUGUCAAACCCCUAUGGCUACGUGAGGGCGAUAAAAGCCAUAUAGUCCGAUUGCCUUGUUCGUUGUGCUAAACUCCUCCUUUAAAGACCAGAAUGUGGAGUAAAGAGUGUUUAGAUUUAUCCCGAACACCCCCGUAGUAUCUACGUGGGGGCAGAAGCCGACGAUUGGUUAACCCUCAGAUUACAUAAACGGCCGCACAGGAGGUCAAAUUUUAAGAGUCACAAGCAUAACGACUUGUUUCAUGUUACAAGACAGGAUAACAUGAAUGUUUUUAGGGGAAUAUAACAUCCCUCGCAAAGUGCUCCGCCACAAGGCGGGAUCCCUCUAGGACACCAUCAAAAUAGAGCUCGGGUCGGCGAUGCUCCUUGCCCUCAGACGGUCCUUCGCUCAUCCACUUCUUGGCAUCCAUCUUCACCCAGUGCAUCUUGACGCGGGCGAAGGCCAUCCGUGCACCUUCAAUGCAGACCGACCGCUUUAUGACUUCAAGCCGCGGGCAGGCUCUAACAAGCCGCUUCACAAGUCCGAAGUAGCUGUUGGGCAUGGGCUCGGCAGGCCACGGCCGGACUAUUAGGUCUUUCAUGGCUAGCUCGGCCGCCUUGUGCAGCUCGACCAGCUGUUUCAGCUGGUCGCUGAAGGGCACCGGAUGUUUUGGUCUAAAGAAUUGGGACCAGAACAGUUUCUCUGAAGAGCUCCCUUCUUCGUCUUGAUAGAACUCGGCAGGUAAAUCCGUGAACACCCCUGGAGAGCUCCCAAUUCAGGUAAGUAAAAGGAACGUUUCCUUAACAGACUUGCUUUGCAUAAUGAAAUCCUUACCCGCCGCGAUCUUCUUGGCCACCUGGAUUUCCUGGAGGGUGCUUUGGGCUUCGGCUCGGGCAUCUUGUGCGCUCUGGCGGGCCUACGCAAGUUCGGACGCUUGCGUCUUAGUAUCACGCUCCAAUGACUCGUACGUUUUGACGACAUCUUGGAGCUCUUGCUGGACCUCGCCGACCCGGGCCUCGUGCUUCUCGCGUGCGGCGUGCUCCUUGGCCGCUUUGUCCUCGGCCUCGGCCAACGCCUUCUUGAGGGCCGCCACCUCGGUCGUGGCCCCUAACAAAGUUCGUGACGCUUUAGUCCGCACGAAACAUUCAUUCUUCCUAAAAUAUACGCGCAGGUUACUGCAUACCUUGGCUGUCCUCAAGCUGCUUCUUUACGAGGCCGAGCUCUUCAUUGGCCCGCUCCAGGCUCUGCUUCAGGCCGGAGACCUCCGCAGUAUGAGCGGUAGCAGCCAGCAGCGACGCCUGCUUAUUUCAUAGACAUAUUAUGUUAGACUCCUGCAAAAAUUGUUUUGAUCCUCUGUUCGGCUUUUUCUUUCCGAACACCGAACAGAGCAUCGGGGGCUACUGUCUACACUGUGAUAUUCUUUCUACGAUUAUUACCUCUAAGCCUGUUAAAAGGCUAGCGCAGGCCUCGGUCAGUCCGCCUUUGGCGGACUGAACCUUUUCGAUCACCGUACCCAUAAGGGCACGGUGUUCAUCCACAAUGGAGGCGCCUCACAGCGCUUCCAGCAGAUUAUCCGGUGCCUCUGGUUGGACAGAGGUCCCCGGCGGAACAGCCACACCUCCUCCUUUCGGGGAAGGCUGUUUGCUGAACUCCGGAACCAUGUAGGUCUCCGGAAUGGUUUCCGGCUGAGGGACGAAUGGAACUUGGCCCCCAUCACCAGUCCCCAGGGGGCUUUUUCCCCCAUGUGUCCGGCGGCCGAGAGUCAUCCUUGGGCGCCACCCUGAUGAUCUCCGGAACCUCCCCCCGGCCUGGGACUAUCCUUUGGGACCCCACCUCGUCAUCACCCUUGGGCGAGACAGAGUGAGUGGGCGGCGGUGACAUGCUAGCCAUCUCAUUUGAGUCUAGCGAACCCUCUGUUGAGGAUCGCGGGGAGCUAUCACGGGCCGGACUACAAUGGCACGGAUUAAACAUAUUAAUAUUGCAAAGCGGAAGGGCUGAGCAUCUAAUGUGCAUAAGAUUUGGGGGUACUUACGAGGCAGCCCGAGGCUUGGUCCGGGGUAUUCGCUCCGGACUGCUAUCGACAUCCCACGCGGAGUUAUCCGCAAGGGAGUCCUUCCUCUUCUUGGGCGCCUUCGCCUCCAAAUUUGCGGCGGCCCCCCUUUUCUUCCUUCCCCCCUCAGGGGGGAGCUACUUUCUUCCUCCUCCUCGCCGUCAUGUUCGGCGGCCGAAGAGUCCGUCUCGUCUUCGGAAGACAUGUCCGAAGAGACCUUUCGGCGAAGGCCACUCCUGGUCCCUUUGGCCGUCUUCUUGGCCUUCUUCUCCGGCACAUCAUAAGGCGCCGGAAAUAGCAUCUUCCUGAGGAGUGGGGUUUCUUCAUCUUCGGGUAGCGGAGCUGGACAAUUAGUCUGCUCCGCUACGUCGGUCCAGGCCUAAAAGAAAUUGAUAGGGAGGCUUAGACUCCUUCCUCAAGAUAUGCCUGUAAAUGUUAUAGCUUGAAAUCAUGUGAGAACUUACCGAAUUAGCCUGGCGCUUUAAGCUAAGCCCACGAUCCUCGGUCGUAGGCGGUGGUGUCUCCCCGGCUUUGAAGAGCACUUUCCAGAUGUCUUCGUGCGUCGUGCCGAAGAGCUCCAGCAGCAUCUGGUGCUUGGUCGGGUCGAACUCCCACAAAUAGCAACUCCGGCGUUGGCACAGAAGGAUCCGGCGAAUGAGCAUGACCUGAAUCACGUUGACAAGUUUGAUCUUCUUAGUUAUCAUGUUCUGGACGCACGUCUCGAGCCCAGUUAGCUCGUUCGUGGAACCCCAGGUUAGGCCCUUCUCUUGCCAGGAGGUGAGCCGCAUCGGAACUCUGGAUCGGAAUUCGGGGGCCGCCGCCCAGUUGGUGUCGCGCGGCUCGGUGAUGUAGAACCACCCCGACUGCCACCCCAUCACUGUCUCCACAAAGGAGCCUUUGAGCCAGGUGACAUUGGGCAUCUUGCCCACUAUGGCACCUCCGCACUCUGCUUGUUGACCGCUCACCACCUUCGGCUUCACAUUGAAGGUCUUCAGCCACAGGCUGAAGUUAGGUGGGAUGCGGAGAAAGGUCUCGCACACGACUAUAAAUGCCGAGAUGUUGAGGAUAAAGUUGGGGGCUAGAUCAUGGAAGUCUAGCCCAUAGUAAAACAUCAGUCCGUGGAGAAACGAGCGGGGAGGGAAUCCCAGCCCGCGGACGAAAUGCGCGAAGAAAACCACCCCCUCAUGAGGCUCGUGUUGGGGAACGUAGUAAUUUCAAAAAAAUUCCUACGCACACGCAAGAUCAUGGUGAUGCAUAGCAACGAGAGGGGAGAGUGUUGUCCACGUACCCUCGUAGACCGACAGCGGAAGCGUUAUCACAACGCGGUUGAUGUAGUCGAACGUCUUCACGAUCCGACCGAUCAAGUACCGAACGCACGGCACCUCCGAAGUUCUACACACGUUCAGCUCGAUGACGUCCCUCGAACUCCGAUCCAGCCGAGUGUUGAGGGAGAGUUUCGUCAGCACAACGGCGUGGUGACGAUGAUGAUGUUCCACCGACGCAGGGCUUCGCCUAAGCUUCGCGACGGUAUUAUCGAGGUGUAAUCUGGUGGAGGGGGGCACCGCACACGGCUAAAAUAUCGUAUAUCAAGUGUGUUCUUAGGUGCCCCCCUGCCCCCGUAUAUAAAGGAGCAAGGGGGAGGCCGGCUGCCUAUGGGGCGCGCCAAGGAGAGGGGGGGAGUCCUCCUCCUAGUAGGAGUAGGACUCCCCUUUCCUAGUCCUACUAGGAAAAGAAGGGGGGAAGGAAAGAGAGGGAGAGGGAGAGGGAAAGUGGGCUGCGCCCCCCUCUCCUAGUCCAACUAGGACUCCUCUGGGAGGGGGCGCACCACCUCCUGGCUGCUGCCCUCUCUCUCCCCUCAAGGCCCACUAAGGCCCAAUACUUCCCCGGGGGGUUCCGGUAACCCUCCGGCAUUCCGGUUUAAUCCGAAACUUCUCCGGAACACUUCCGGUGUCCGAAUAUAGUCGUCCAAUAUAUCAAUCUUUACGUCUCGACCAUUUCGAGACUCCUCGUCAUGUCCGUGAUCACAUCCGGGACUCCGAACAACCUUCGGUACAUCAAAUCAUAUAAACUCAUAAUAAAACUGUCAUCGUAACUUUAAGCGUGCGGACCCUUUGGGUUCGAGAACUAUGUAGACAUGACCGAGACACCUCUCCGGUCAAUAACCAAUAGCGGGACCUGGAUGCCCAUAUUGCCUCCUACAUAUUCUACGAAGAUCUUUAUCGGUCAGACCGCAUAACAACAUACGUUGCUCCCUUUGUCAUCGGUAUGUUACUUGCCUGAGAUUCGAUCGUCAGUAUCUCGAUACCUAGUUCAAUCUCGUUACCGGCAAGUCUCUUUACUCGUUCUGUAAUACAUCAUUCCGCAACUAACUCAUUAGUCACAAUGCUUGCAAGGCUUAUAGUGAUGUGCAUUACCGAGUGGGCCCAGAGAUACCUCUCCGACAAUCGGAGUGACAAAUCCUAAUCUCGAUAUACGCCAACCCAACAAGUACCUUUGGAGACACCUGUAGAGCACCUUUAUAAUCACCCAGUUACGUUGUGACAUUUGGUAGCACACAAAGUGUUCCUCCGGUAAACGGGAGUUGCAUAAUCUCAUAGUCAUAGGAACAUGUAUAAGUCAUGAAGAAAGCAAUAGCAACAUACUAAACGAUCGGGUGCUAAGCUAACGUAAUGGGUCAUGUCAAUCACGUCAUUCUCCUAAUGAGGUGAUCCCGUUAAUCAAAUGACAACUCAUGUCUAUGGCUAGGAAACAUAACCAUCUUUGAUUAACGAGCUAGUCAAGUAGAGGCAUACUAGUGACACUCUGUUUGUCUAUGUAUUCACGCAUGUAUUAUUUUUCCGGUUAAUACAAUUCUAGCAUGAAUAAUAAACAUUUAUCAUGAUAUAAGGAAAUAUAUAAUAGUUUAUUAUUGCCUCUAGGGCAUAUUUCCUUCAGUCUCCCACUUGCACUAGAGUCAAUAAUCUAGUUCACAUCGCCAUGUGAUUUAACAUCAAUAAUUCACAUCACCAUGUGAUUAACACCCAUAGUUCACAUCUCUAUGUGACCAACACUCAAAGAGUUUACUAGAGUCAAUAAUCUAGUUCACAUCGCUAUGUGAUUAACACCCAAAGAGUACUAAGGUGUGAUCAUGUUUUGAUUGUGAGAUAAUUUUAGUCAACGGGUCUGUCACAUCCAGAUCCGUAAGUAUUUUGCAAAUUUCUAUGUCUACAAUGCUCUGCACGGAGCUACUCUAGCUAAUUGCUCCCACUUUCAAUAUGUAUCUAGACCGAGACUCAGAGUCAUCUAGAUUUAGUGUCAAAACUUGCAUUGACGUAACCCUUUACGAUGAACCUUUUGUCACUUCCAUAAUCGAGAAACAUAUCCUUAUUCCACUAAGGAUAAUUUUGACCGCUGUCCAGUGAUCUACUCCUAGAUCACUAUUGUACUCCCUUGCCAAAAUCAGUGUAGGGUAUACAAUAGAUCUGGUACACAGCAUGGCAUACUUUAUAGAACCUAUGGCCAAGGCAUAGGGAAUGACUUUCAUUCUCUUUCUAUCUUCUGCCGUGGUCGGGCUUUGAGUCUUACUCAAUUUCACACCUUGUAACACAGGCAAGAACUCUUUCUUUGACUGUUCUAUUUUGAACUACUUCAAAAUCUUGUUAAGGUAUGUACUCAUUGAAAAAACUUAUCAAGCGUUUUGAUCUAUCUCUAUAGAUCUUGAUGCUCAAUAUGUAAGCAGCUUCACCGAGGUCUAUCUUUGAAAAACUUCUUUCAAACACUCCUUUAUGCUUUGCAGAAUAAUUCUACAUUAUUUCCGAUCAACAAUAUGUCAUUCACAUAUACUUAUCAGAAAUGUUGUAGUGCUCCCACUCACUUUCUUGUAAAUACAGGUUUCACCGCAAGUUUGUAUAACACUAUAUUCUUUGAUAAACUUAUCAAAGUGUAUAUUCCAACUCCGAGAUGCUUGCACCAGUCCAUAGAUGGAUCGGUGGAGCUUGCAUAUUUUGUUAGCACCUUUAGGAUUGACAAAACCUUUUGGUUGCAUCAUAUACAACUCUUCUUUAAUAAAUCCAUUAAGGAAUGUAGUUUUGUUUAUCCAUUUGCCAUAUUUCAUAAAAUGCGGCAAUUGCUAACAUGAUUCAGACAGACUUAAGCAUAGAUACGAGUGAGAAACUCUCAUCGUAGUCAACAUCUUGAACUUGUCGAAAACCUUUUUGCGACAAUUCUAGCUUUGUAGAUAGUGACACUACUAUCAACAUCCGUCUUCCUCUUGAAGAUCCAUUUAUUCUCAAUGGCUCGCCGAUCAUUGGGCAAGUCAAUCAAAGUCCAUACUUUGUUCUCAUAUAUGGAUCUUAUCUCAGAUUUCAUGGCCUCAAGCCAUUUUGCGGAAUCUGGGCUCACCAUCGCUUCUUCAUAAUUCGUAGGUUCGCCAUGGUCUAGUAACAUGACCUCCAGAAGAGGAUUACUGUACCACUCUGGUGCGGAUCUUACUCUGCUUUACCUACGAGGUUUGGUAGUAACUUGAUCUGAAGUUACAUGAUCAUCAUCAUUAACUUCCUCACUAAUUGGUGUAGGAGUCACAGGAACAGAUUUCUGUGAUGAACUACUUUCCAAUAAGGGAGCAGGUACAGUUACCUCAUCAAGUUCUACUUUCCUCCCACUCACAUCUUUCGAGAGAAACUCCUUCUCUAGAAAGGAUCCAUACUAAGCAACGAAUGUCUUGCCUUCGGAUCUGUGAUAGAUGGUGUACCCAACUGUCUCCUUUGGGUAUCCUAUGAAGAUACAUUUCUCCGAUUUGGGUUUGAGCUUAUCAGGAUGAAACUUUUUCACAUAAGCAUCACAACCCCAAACUUUAAGAAACGACAACUUUGGUUUCUUGCCAAACCACAGUUCAUAAGGCGUCGUCUCAACGGAUUUUGAUGGUGCCCUAUUUAACGUGAAUGUAGCUGUCUCUAAUGCAUAACCCCAAAACGAUAGUGGUAAAUUGGUAAGAGACAUCAUAGAUUGCACUAUAUCCAAUAAAGUACGGUUAUGACGUUCGGACACACCAUUAUGCUGUGGUGUUCCAGGUGGCGUGAGUAGUGAAACUAUUUCACUUUGUUUUGACUGAAGGCCAAACUCGUAACUCAAAUAUUUUACCUCUGCGAUCAUAUCGUAGAAACUUUUAUUUUCUUGUUACGAUGAUACUCCACUUCACUCUGAAAUUCUUUGAACUUUUCAAAUGUUUCAGACUUGUGUUUCAUCAAGUAGAUAUACCUAUAUCUGCUCAAAUCAUCUGUGAAGAUUAGAAAAUAAUGAUACCUGCUACGAGCCUCAAUAUUCAUCGGACCACAUACAUCCGUAUGUAUGAUUUCCAACAAAUCUGUUGCUCUCUCCAUAGUUCCGGAGAACGGCGUUUUAGUCAUCUUGCCCAUGAGGCACGGUUCGCAAGCAUCAAGUGAUUCAUAAUCAAGUGAUUCCAAAAUCCCAUCAGUAUGGAGUUUCUUCAUGCGCUUUACACCAAUAUGACCUAAACGGCAGUGCCACAAAUAGUUUGCACUAUCAUUAUUAACUUUGCAUCUUUUGGCUUCAAUAUUAUGAUUAUAUGUAUCACUACGAUCGAGAUCCAACAAACCAUUUUCGUUGGUGUGUAUGACCAUAGAAGGUUUGUAUUCAUGUAAACAGAACAACAAUUGUUCUCUAACUUAAAUGAAUAACCGUAUUGCAAUAAACAUGAUCAAAUCAUAUUCAUGCUCAACGCAAACACCAAAUAACACUUAUUUAGUUUCAACACUAAUCCCGAAAGUACAGGGAGUAUGCGAUGAUGAUCAUAUCAAUCUUGGAACUACUUCCAACACACAUCGUCACCUCGCCUUUUCACUAGUCUCUGUUUAUUCUGCAACUCCGUUUCGAGUUACUACUUUAGCAACUAAACCAGUAUCAAAUACCGAGGGGUUGCUAUAAACACUAGUAAAGUACACAUCAAUAACAUGUAUAUCCAAUAUACCUUUGUUCACUUUGCCAUCCUUCUUAUCCACCAAAUACUUGGGGCAGUUCCGCUUCCAGUGACCAGUCCCUUUGCAGUAGAAGCACUUAGUCUCAGGCUUAGGUACAGACUUGGGCUUCUUCACUUGAGCAGCAACUUGCUUGCCGUUCUUUUUGAAGUUCCCCUUCUAUCCUUUUGCCCUUUUCUUGAAACUAGUGGUCUCGUCAACCAUCAACACUCGAUGUUUUUCUUGAUUUCUACCUUCGUCGAUUUCAGCAUCACGAAGAGCUCGGGAAUUACUUUCGUCAUCCCUUGCAUACUAUAGUUCAUCACGAAGUUCUACUAACUUGGUGAUGGUGACUAGAGAAUUCUGUCAAUCACUAUUUUAUCUGGAAGAUAAACUCCCACUUGAUUCAAGCGAUUGUAGUACCCAGACAAUCUGAGCACAUGCUCACUAGUUGAGCGAUUCUCCUCCAUAUUUUAGCUAUAGAACUUGUUGGAGACUUCAUAUCUCUCAACUCGGGUAUUUGCUUGAAAUAUUAACUUCAACUCCUGGAACAUCUUAUAUGGUCCAUGACGUUCAAAACGUCUUUGAAGUCCCGAUUCUAAGCCGUUAAGCAUGGUGCACUAAACUAUCAAGUAGUCAUCAUAUUGAGCUAGCCAAACGUUCAUAACGUUUGCAUCUGCUCCUGCAAUAAGUCUGUCACCUAGCAGUGCAUCAAGGACAUAAUUUUUCUGUGCAGCAAUGAGGAUAAUCCUCAGAUCACGGAUCCAAUCCGCAUCUUUGCUACUAACAUCUUCCAACAUAAUUUUCUCUCGUAACAUAUCAAAAUAAAACAGGGAAGCAACAACGCGAGCUAUUGAUCUACAACAUAAUUUGCCAAAUACUAUCAGGACUAAGUUCAUGAUAAAUUUAAGUUCAAUUAAUCAUAUUACUUAAGAACUCCCACUUAGAUAGACAUCUCUCUAAUCAUCUAAGUGAUUACGUGAUCCAAAGUAACUAAACCAUGUCCGAUUAACACGUGAGAUGGAGUAGUUUCAAUGGUGAACAUCACUAUGUUGAUCAUAUCUACUAUAUGAUUCACGCUCGACCUUUCGGUCUCUGUGUUCCGAGGCCAUAUCUGUACAUAUGCUAGGCUCGUCAAGUUUAACCUGAGUAUUCCGCGUGUGCAACUGUUUUGCACCCGUUGUAUUUGAACGUAGAGCCUAUCACACCCGAUUAACACGUGGUGUCUCAGCACGAAGAACUUUCGCAACGGUGCAUACUCAGGGAGAACACUUUUGUCUUGAAAUUUUAGUGAGAGAUCAUCUUAUAAUGCUACCGUCAAUCAAAGCAAGAUAAGAUGCAUAAAGGAUUAACAUCACAUGCAAUCAAUAUAAGUGAUAUGAUAUGGCCAUCAUCAUCUUGUGCUUGUGAUCUCCAUCUCCGAAGCACCGUGCUUGUGAUCUCCAUCUCCGAAGCACCGUCAUGAUCACCAUCGUCACCGGCGCGACACCUUGAUCUCCAUCGUAGUAUCGUUGUCGUCUCGCCAACUUAUUGCUUUUAUGACUAUCGCUACCGCUUAGUGAUAAAGUAAAACUAUUACAUGGCGAUUGCAUCUCAUACAAUAAAGCGACAACCAUAUGGCUCCUGCCAGUUGCCGAUAACUCGGUUACAAAACAUGAUCAUCUCAUACAACACAUUAUAUCACAUCAUGUCUUGACCAUAUCACAUCACAACAUGCCCUGCAAAAACAAGUUAGGCGUCCUCUACUUUGUUGUUGCAAGUUUUACGUGGCUGCUACGGGCUAAGCAAGAACCGUUCUUACCUACGCAUCAAAACCACAAUGAUAGUUUGUCAAGUUGGUGCUGUUUUAACCUUCGCAAGGACCGGGCGUAGCCACACUCGGUUCAACUAAAGUGAGAGAGACAGACACCCGCCAGUCACCUUUAAGCAACGAGUGCUCCGAACGGUGAAACCAGUCUCGCAUAAGCGUACGCGUAAUGUCGGUCCGGGCCGCUUCAUCUCACAAUACCGCUGAACCAAAGUAUGACAUGCUGGUAAGCAGUAUGACUUAUAUCGCCCACAACUCACUUGUGUUCUACUCGUGCAUAGCAUCAACGCAUAAAACCAAGCUCGGAUGCCACUGUUGGGUUACGUAGUAAUUUCAAAAAAAUUCCUACGCACACGCAAGAUCAUGGUGAUGCAUAGCAACGAGGGGGGGAGAGAGUGUUGUCCACGUACCCUCGUAGACCGACAGCGGAAGCUAUAUCACAACGUGGUUGAUGUAGUCGUACGUCUUCACGAUCCGACCAAUCAAGUACCGAACGUACGGCACCUCCAAGUUCUACACACGUUCAGCUCGAUGACGUCCCUCGAACUCCGAUCCAGCCGACUGUUGAGGGAGAGUUUCGUCAGCACGACGGCGUGGUGACGAUGAUGAUGUUCCACCGACGCAGGGCUUCGCCUAAGCUCCGCGACGGUAUUAUCGAGGUGUAAUCUGGUGGAGGGGGGCACCGCACACGGCUAAAAUAUCGUAUAUCAAGUGUGUCUAGAGGUGCCCCCCUGCCCCCGUAUAUAAAGGAGCAAGGGGGAGGCCGGCUGCCUAUGGGCGCGCCAAGGAGAGGGGGGGAGUCCUCCUCCUAGUAGGAGUAGGACUCCCCUUUCCUAGUCCUACUAGGAAAAGAAGGGGGGAAGGAAAGAGAGGGAGAGGGAGAGGGAAAGGGGGCUGCGCCCCCCUCUCCUAGUCCAACUAGGACUCCUCCUGGGAGGGGGCGCACCACCUCCUGGCUGCUUCCCUCUCUCUCCCCUCAAGGCCCACUAAGGCCCAAUACUUCCCCGGGGGGUUCCGGUAACCCUCCGGCACUCCGGUUUAAUCCGAAACUUCUCCCGAACGCUUCCGGUGUCCGAAUAUAGUCGUCCAAUAUAUCAAUCUUUACGUCUCGACCAUUUCGAGACUCCUCGUCAUGUCCGUGAUCACAUCCGGGACUCCGAACAACCUUCGGUACAUCAAAACAUAUAAACUCAUAAUAAAACUGUCAUCGUAACUUUAAGCAUGCGGACCCUUUGGGUUCGAGAACUAUGUAGACAUGACCGAGACACCUCUCCGGUCAAUAACCAAUAGCGGGACCUGGAUGCCCAUAUUGGCUCCCACAUAUUCUACGAAGAUCUUUAUCGGUCAGACCGCAUAACAACAUACGUUGCUCCCUUUGUCAUCGGUAUGUUACUUGCCUGAGAUUCGAUCGUCAGUAUCUCGAUACCUAGUUCAAUCUCGUUACCGGCAAGUCUCUUUACUCGUUCCGUAAUACAUCAUUCCGCAACUAACUCAUUAGUCACAAUGCUUGCAAGGCUUAUAGUGAUGUGCAUUACCGAGUGGGCCCAGAGAUACCUCUCCGACAAUCGGAGUGACAAAUCCUAAUCUCGAUAUACGCCAACCCAACAAGUACCUUUGGAGACACCUGUAGAGCACCUUUAUAAUCACCCAGUUACGUUGUGACGUUUGGUAGCACACAAAGUGUUCCUCCGGUAAACGGGAGUUGCAUAAUCUCAUAGUCAUAGGAACAUGUAUAAGUCAUGAAGAAAGCAAUAGCAACAUACUAAACGAUCGGGUGCUAAGCUAACGUAAUGGGUCAUGUCAAUCACGCCAUUCUCCUAAUGAGGUGAUCCCGUUAAUCAAAUGACAACUCAUGUCUACGGCUAGGAAACAUAACCAUCUUUGAUUAACGAGCUAGUCAAGUAGAGGCAUACUAGUGACACUCUGUUUGUCUAUGUAUUCACACAUGUAUCAAGUUUCUGGUUAAUACAAUUCUAGCAUGAAUAAUAAACAUUUAUCAUGAUAUAAGGAAAUAAAUAAUAACUUUAUUAUUGCCUCUAGGGCAUAUUUCCUUCAGAAACCUAUUCGUUGCAAGUGGGUUUUCAAGAGAAAAGAAGGUGUUUCUCCUAAUGAUGAGACAAGAUAUAAAGCAAGGUUAGUUGCUAAAGGUUACAGUCAGAUUCCAGGUAGUGACUAUAACAAAGUCUUUUCUCCUGUUGCGAAGCAUAGCUCUAUUCGCACUUUAUUCAGUAUUGUUGCCAUCCUGAUCUUGAGCUUGAACAAUUGGAUGUUAAAACUGCAUGUUUACAUGGAGAAUUAGAAGAGGAUAUUUAUAUGGAACAACCUGAAGGUUUUGUUAUUCCUGGAAAAGAAAAGCUUGGCUAUAAGUUAAAGAAAUCUAUGUAUGGAUUGAAGCAAUCCCCUAGACAAUGUUACAAGAGAUUUGACACUUUUAUGCUCUCUCAAGGUUUCAAAAGGUCUCAUUCUGAUAGUUGUGUUUAUUUGAAAACUAUCAAUGGUUCAACUAUUUUUUUGCUCCUUUAUGUUGAUGAUAUGCUAAUUGCUGCAAAGAGUAUAUCAGAUGUUGUUGAACUAAAGAAGCAAUUGAGUAAUGAAUUUGAGAUGAAGGAUUUGGGUGCAGCAAAGAAAAUUCUUGACAUGGAAAUAUCCAGAGAUAGACCGUCUGGAAAAGUAUAUCUAAGUCAGAAGGGAUAUAUUGAUAAAGUUCUUCGUCAUUUUAAUAUGCAUAAUGCCAAGCCAGUAAGUACUCCGUUAGCUGCACACUUCAAAUUAUCAUCAGCAUUAUGUCCUAAGUCAGAUGCAGAUAUUGAGUACAUGUCUAGAGUUCCCUAUUCGAGUGCAGUUGGUUCACUUAUGUAUGUCAUGGUUUGUUCUCGUCCGGAUUUAUCUUAUGCAUUGAGUGUUGUCAGUAGAUACAUGGCUAAUCCUGGAAAAGAGCAUUGAAAAGCAGUUCAGUGAAUUUUCAGGUACCUGUGAGGUACUUCUAAUGCUUAUUUAUAGUUUGGGAAAACUGGAGAUGGACUUGUUCGUUUUGUUGAUUCUGAUUUUGCUGGUGAUUUGGAUAAGAGAAGAUCACUCACAGGUUAUGUUUUCACCAUUGGUGGUUGUGCUGUGAGUUGAAGAGCAACUUUGCAGUCUAUUAUGGCAUGUUCCACUAUUGAUGCCGAGUACGUGACUAUUUCUGAGGCAUGCAAUGAAGCUAUCUGGUUGAAAGGUUUGUAUUCUGAGCUUCGUGGAGAUUCAUCUUGCCCUACCGUAUUUAGUGACAGUCAAAGUGCCAUAUAUCUUACAAAGAAUCCAAUGUAUCUCGAGAGAACAAAGCACAUUGAUGUCAGAUUUCAUUAUAUUCAAGAUGUUGUUGCUGAAGCCGAUUUGAAGGUAUGCAAGAUAAGUACUCAUGAUAAUCCUGCUGAUAUGAUGACAAAGCCAGUUCCAACCAAUAAGUUUGAGCUUUGCUCAGGCUUAGUUGGUAUUUCUCACUAGUCCUAUGGACUUUGACGCACAAGGUGUUUAUGCUGAUUUGGAUGGAGUUAUCUACUUUCUUCGACUACUUGAGGGAAUUUGGAUCAAGGUGGAGAUUGUUAAAUUGUGAUCCAAAUUAUACCAUGUUGGACUAGACGUAGUACAAUAGGUGUGGGCCUUUGCGUUGACGUCGACGCGUACAAGUACAACUCGUUUCUUGUCCUCCAAGUCUAUCGUCUCAUACUUGUAAUACUCCUUCUCAUAGUGAUUGAGCCUUCGUGCGUCCGUGGUUUUCUCCCACAAAGGUUUCCACAUAAAAAUACGUGUGCUAUUGUGUCUCGUUUAUCUCGUUUUUAUCUAACAAAAGGCACUCCUGAGUGCUGACUCCCCGGCCAACCUGAGCGCUGUCAAUAUAUUAAGCCGUGCACAAUCCACACUUCACACCUUCACAGCUCCAUCUUACUCUCUCACGCCCAGCCAGUGGAUCGUCGCGCCCUCUGCCCCAACGACGCAUCGAUGGCACUGGCGCCACGACCACUGGCCACCAUAGUUUUCGUCUGCCAGAUGAUGGCGGUCGUUCUGCAGGCCACGACCUUGACUUGCGUUGUGCUCGCAGGCGACCUCUGGUUCUAGACGUUCCUGUAUGCUACUAUACCACCUCUCUGGCCUCUUCUAGCCAUCUGUUCAACCAACACCACUUCACUUUGGCAUGUAGAUUCCUCAAGGCUCUCCUGGCGGCGGAGCUGGCCUUGAACACGGCACGACUGAUCUACGAAGCGGCGCAGGUCUUCUUCCAGAAACUGUUGUCGGCCUUCCGCUGGCAGAUGAUGGGGCUCGUCGCCGCUGACUAGGUACCGUACAGUAGUAUUCUCUUUCAUGCUCGCUGGCUCGCACAAACAUAUAUGUCGUCCUACGUGUGCGUGCAUGCAUGGAUUGCAAGUGAUGAUGCUCCUCCUUUUCACUAUUGGGUCGAGCUCCCUCGCCGUGGAGGACUUCAUCGAGAACAACAUGAGGCAUUGCGCGUGGCUGAAGCCCGAGACGUGCGAGCGGUACAAGGCCUCCGGCGUACUUACCUUGCUGGCGUGGGCUUUCACUGCCCUGGUCGCCUGUGUUAUGCUUCGUCAGCAAAGGAUCUGGGAUGAAGACGCCGCCACCGCUGAUGCAUGAUGGGCAGUCAACUUCUACCUAAGCAUGAGAGAUUUAUUUGAUACUAGUAGUAGUAAUAAAUAGUUUAGUUUGGCUACUAUCGCUAUGACGUCGCCAUGUGUACGUACGGUAGACGUACUACCCUCCCUAUGAUUUUUAGUAAAAGUGUAUAUUAUUCCCGUAUAUGAUGCUUAAGUUUGGUUGCGGCUCACUUUGAAGAUAACGUUUGCCGGUGGUUGGUUGCCAGUUGUCUGUUGGUACCCCGCCGUCAUAUCAGUACAAUGCACUGCUUUUCUUCGCUAUGAUAUACAGCUUACCACGUAUGCCAUGUGAUGUACAAUGCUAUGCUGUCGAAAAGUCAGUAAGGGCUAGGCAUGAGGCUAGCACUUCACUACCCAAGUCAGCUAAAAAGGACAAUGAUUGGUGAAGUACUGUACUGUAACAAGGAGUUCACUCAACUUCUUAUCAAGGAAGAAAUAUUAUGAAAGCAGAGAUCUCGUCUAGACAAGAUGAAAGGGGAAGAUCGUAAUACAAAAUAUUUUCAGCGAAAGGCUUCUUGGAGAGCGAAAAAAUUCUAUUUCGGCUCUUAGGAAGGAUGAUGGUUGUCUCACAUAAAAUCUGAAGGAAAUGAAAGGUAUCGCAAACUUGUUUUUUAAACAACUUUAUUCUUGUGAUGCUUCGGUUGAUCCAUCCCACAUUAUUUCGAUAGUCAAGCCCCAUGUGACAGAUGAUAUGAAUGAUGAUCUCUGCAAGCCUUUUAUGGAAAAAGAAAUAAGUGAUGCCUUUUUUCAAAUGGGACUGUUAAAAGCACCAGGGCCAGAUGACUUUCCUGCGAGGUUUUUCUAGCAGAAUUUGGGUCGAAUCGAAGAUGAUAUCGUCAAGGCUAUGCAGCAAUUUUUUAUUUCUGGAAUUAUGCUUGACGGUUUCAAUAAUACAACUAUUGUUCUCAUCCUGGAGAUUAAAUCCUCAAACAAUCAAAGAUUUUAGGCCGAUCAGUUUGUGCAAUGUUAUCUAUAACAUUAUUUCCAAGUGUCUUGUUAACAAGAUGCGACCGCUCUUUGAUGGUAUGAUUUUCCCUACCCAAAGUGCGUUUAUUCUGGGAUGCUCUCAUAGCUUUUGAAUGUAUGCAUUCAAACAUACAUUCGUUAAGUACGCUUAAGGAUUUAAGAGGGGAAUACUAUGCUUAUAAGUUGGACCUGCCAAAGCCUAUGACCGUGUGGAUUGGCAAUUUUUGCAAGGUAUGAUGGGUGCAUUGGGUUUUGCGCCACAAUGGAUUAAAUGGGUUAUGACAUGUGUUACUUUGAUGAAAUUUGCGGUGCACUUUAAUGGUCAAUUGUUGAAGUCAUUCUCACCAACUCAGGGGCUCGGACAGGGAGAUCCUUUAUCUCCCUAUUUGUUCUUAUUUGUUGUCGGGGCGCUUUCUUCGUUGCUUAAUGACGCAUGUGCCAGGGGAGUCCUCCAGGAAUUCAGACUGAAUAGACAAUGCAAGCUCCGGGUAUUUCUCAUUUGUUAUUUGUAGAUGAUAGUCUGCUAUUUUUCAAGGGUUCUUUUGAUCAAGCUUUAGCAAUUAGAAAUAUUCUAACGGUGUAUGAGAAGGGAAAUGGACAAGCCCUGAUAAGUGUUCCAUAAUGUUUGGGAAAUGUGCAGCUUGGAGAAACAAGUGACUAUUAUGGUUAUCUAAAAAAUUACUGUGGAGGGGUUCGAGGAUAAAUAUCUUGGAUUACCAAUCCCAGAGGGUAGAAUGAAGGCUGGUAUGUUUCGGUAUACUAAAGACAAGCUUUUGUAAAGGCUUUCUGAUUGGAUUGAAAAAUAUGCUUCUUGUGGAGUCAAGGAAGAUUUAAUCAAAACAGUAAUUCAGGCUCUAACUGUGUAUGCUAUGGGUGUUUUCAAUUUCCGGCUUCCCUUUGUGAGGAGUUAUCCUAGAUUAUAAGGAAUUUUUGGUGGGGAGAUGAAGAAGAAAGAAGGAAAACACAUUGGUUGGCGUGGGACAAACUAACAAGACCAAAAGGGAAGGGUGACAUGGGCUUUCCUGAUCUCAGACUUUUUAAUCAAACUCUUUUGGCCAAACAGGCAUGGCGGUUGUUGGUUUAUCCGGACUCGUUGUGUGCAAAGUUGAUGAAGGAAAAGUAUUACCCUCAUGGACAUAUUCUGGAUACGGUGUUUCCGCAUGCUACUUAUGUGACUUGGCAAGGUAUUACACAUGGCCUGGAACUUCUUAAGAAGGGGAUCAUUUGGCGCGUAUGUGAUGGAUCUAGUAUUAAUAUUUGGACGGAUAAUUGGAUACUUAGGAGGCAUGGCCUACAAAUUUCAGCUAGAAGGCAUAAUACCAGCUUAAAGUGGGUAUCUGAUUUAUUCAUGAGCGGGCGUAAGUGUUGGGAUGAAAUUUUGAUCAAGUGUCUUUUUUUAAGCACUGACCGUAGAACAAUUGUUCUACGGUAUUUUCAUUAAUAAAUUAUAUACAAAAUACAAGUGAGAAACCUAACAUCAACCAAUACCAGUUUUAUGAAACAUGGAAAUUAACAAUGAAGAUCUAUCCAGUCCCUAAUCCUUUGCGCUUUUGCUUGCGUAGCUCUAAUUUGCACUCCUUUGAGCCCUUCCUGAAGAUAGUAACUCCAUCCUUGCACAUGUGAAGCAGCAUGUCUGAAAAUUUUAUCAUUUAUGACCGACCAAAUACCCCAACAGCCCAUGAUGAUAACCUCUAGGGAAAUGCUUUGGGGCAGAUGCUGAAGAGCCAAUUGGAUAUCAUCAAUAACUGAUAUACCUCUUUUCCUAUUCGGGAUGAUCCUAUCCCAACAAAGCAAGGCAAAUGGAUAGUCCCAGAAUGAGUGCAUGUUUGUUUCCUCAGUAUUGUCUGCACAAAGCACACAAUUGUAGCUGUUCAAGACCAUUCUAUGAAGUAAAUUCCUGGAGUUGACACUAUCAUGUAGAAGCAUCCAAAAGAAAAUCUGGUGCCUCAAACGGCAUGCUGUUUUCCAAAUAUCCUGGAACAAAGAGUGUACUUUAGUGGGUCCCAUCAUGUGUGCAUACAUCUGGAUAGAGGAAUAUCCUCUGGAACAUCCAAUAAUGGACCAUCUAUCAUUUCCUUGCAUGUCACUUCUUCCUUGUAGGCAUUCUUGUAGAGCAUUAAACUGCAGAAAAGUUUGAUGUGAUAAUGGUGUAUGAAAAUGGGAUGCCAAAUCUUCAGUGUUCAGAAUUUGCUGAAGGGAAACAUUAUUGUUGUUUCUGCAAGAGCUAAGCUCAGGGAAUUUGUUGAGGAGUGGCUGGUCCCACUAGCAGUUUGACUAGAAUAGAGUUGUGUUACCAGAAUGACCAGAAGAAACAGCAAAUGCUUUGUAGAGAGGCAGAAGUUUGAGCACGGUUUUCCACCAAAAGGAGCCCACCUAUCGAUCCCCACGCAAUAGUAAGUUUCCCAAAUGAUAUUAACCCAUGGAAUAUUCUCUUUAUUGAGGAAUUUGUGCACUUGUUUCAUGAGCAGCGCCUGGUUGUGCACCUCAAUAUUUAAGAUGCCAAGUCUUCCAUUAGCCUUGGGUUGGCAGGCAGUGCUCCAAGCAAUCAGAACUGCCCCUCUGUCUUGAGAACCAUAUUUCCUCCAAAAACAGUUUCUGAAGUAGCUGUGAAGUUGAUUUACCACUAUAAUUGGAAUCUGAAGGGAGCACAUGAAAUAAAUGGGCAGACUGGAGAAAACUAAUUUAAUGAGUGUGAGCUUAUCACCAGUAGAAAGCAAAGUUGAGCAGCUCAUCAGCCUAUUUUCAACUCUUUUCAGUAAUGGCAGAAAAUCUUCAACCCUUGGUUUGCUGAGGCUGAGAGGAAGGCCUAAGUACGACAGAGGUAAGGUACCAAUCUGACAUCCCAAAAUGUCUGAGAGAAUCUGCAUCUUGUGCUCAGGAGUAUUGAUGGAAAUCAUGGUGGACUUGGAGUAGUUUACUUUGAGGCUAGUGUAUGCUGCAAAGUGGAGCAAAAGGUUCUUGAUGUUGUGUAGCUGUGUAGCCUCUGCAUUUGCUAUCAAAAUGGUAUCAUCGGCAUAUUGAAUAAUGGGAUAAUCUUGGCUGGACUGAUGAAUCAAUGGUGCUGGGAUCAGAUCAUUUCUUUUUGCCUCAUUCAACAUUGUUUGUAAAAUAUCUGCUGCAAUAACAAAGAUGGGGGGAGACAGUGGGUCUCCUUGUCUUACUCCACAUUUUCACAAAAAUUGUUUGCCUGGGACCCCAUUAAGUAGCACAGAAGAAAAACCAGUACUGUAUAUCAUCUUAAUCCAUUGAAUCCAUCUACUUCUAAAACCUUUAGCUUCUAGAAUUUCCAAGAUGGUAUCAUGAUUAAGCAUAUCAAAGGCCUUCUCAAAGUCCAAUUUCAAUAGAACCAGCUCCUUGUUUGACUGAUUGCACUGAUGAAUAUAUUCAUAUGACCAAGCUAGACAAUCCUGAAUGCAUCUGUUGAAAAGAAAACCAUAUUGAUUCUGGUGCACUAAGGAGAGGAUAACUUUCUGCAGUUUGUUAGCCAACAACUUCGUGAUGAUCUUCAAUGUGCAAUUCAAGAGAGAGAUAGGUCUAAAAUCAUUUGGCAGAAUAGCAGCAUCUUUCUUAGGAAUGAGUGUUAUGAAAGAGUAGUUUAUGCUCUGAAGGUUGACAGUCCCCUUGUGAAAAUCUUCUAUUAAUCUAUAGAAAUCAGGGGCAAUGAUGUCCCAGCAAACCUUAAGAAAUUUGGUAUUAAAUCCAUCUGGGCCUGGGGAUUUAUCUGCAGGCAUGUGUUUAAUCACAUCAUCAAUUUCCUCUUUGGUGAAGGGGAGUUCCAAUUCAGAGAGAUCCAAAGGUUGUUGAAGCAGAGUGUGCAGAAACAGUGGGUUUUCGGGUUUGGAUGCAGUACCAAUCCUGUUCUUAAAUGCUCUGAAAAGAAUAGCUGCUUUGGCUUGGUGCUCCUGAUGUUCAAAACCAUCCUCAUCCCUUAAGACAACAAUGUGGUUGUUCCUGUGCUUGAUGGUGGCUUUAGCUUGGAAAUACUUAGUGUUUGCCUCACCCAUUCUUAUCUUUCUAAUGGUAGCUCUCUGUUUCCAGUAUAUCCUUUGAUGCUCAUUAAUCUCUCUCAGAUGUUCAAUUAAGAUAAGUCUACCAUUGGCUUCCUCAGUAGAUAAAUCUCUGUACUCCUCAAUAACAUCAUAACAUAAGAUCAUGAAGUUAGUUUUCUCAAUGGUGGCCUUCAUAUUUGAUAUAGUCCUUGCCCAAAUUUUCAGGCCCUUCCUUAGCCUCUUGAAUUUUGCAGCAAUACAUUGGCACUAUCCACUUCCUGAACAUCUUGUUCCCAAAUUUGCUUCACUACCUCUUUAAAUUGUGCAUGUUUAGUCCAGUAGUUUCAAACCUGAAGAUCUGUGAUUUAGGGAUUGAGGUACCAAUCUUGAUAAGCACAGGAGUAUAAUCAGAAGUUGUUUUAGCUAGGGGAAUGGCCAAAGUUGAUGGGAAAGAGAGAGCCCAAGAUUUAUAUGUAAAGCACCAAUCUAGCUUCUCUAGUAGUGGUGCGUCUUGCAUAUUGCUCCAAGUGUAGUUUCUGCCCUUGAGUGGGAUCUCAACCAAAGCUUGUCUGCUUAUUACUUCAUUGAAUAGCAGCAUGUCAUUAAUACUUCCACCUUCCCUAUUCAUGUUUUGUGGAUACCUGAUGUAAUUAAAGUCACCAAGAAUCAUCCAACUCAUCUCAACAUCAAUUUGGAAGUUCUGAAGCCAGACUAAAAAGGAAAUUCUAUCUUCAGGAUUACAAGGCCCAUAGACAUUAGUCAAGAUCCAGACAGAACCAUUGAGUUUACAUGUGAAAUGGAUUGAUAGAGAGAAGGCAUUUUGAUGGAAGAUGUGACCAGAGAAGAUGCUAUCAUUCCAAGCAGUGAGGAUUACUCCAGAAGCACCAAUGGAGGGAAGGAAUUCAAAUUUAGAGAGUCUUUUGGGACAGAAGUUCCUGAGAUAAGAUUGAUCAAAAUUCUCUCUUUUUGUUUCUUGAAGACAUAGCACUGAGCAACCUGACUCCUCAAUCUUAUUUGAUAUAGCAUCCCAUUUUUGGAUCAUUGAGGCCCCUAAUAUUCUAAUUUAAAACGUUCCAAUUUCUAGCCAUGAUCAAAAUGUUGCAGAAACAACACUGAUAUGUAUUUAUACUUGGUAACUGAUCCCCUGGAAUUAAUGUGACACACUGGUUUCACUGGCAUCAACAUGACAGGAUGUAUCUCAGAACAAAUCAGACAUUUUAGAGAUACAAUAAGCAUGGAAGGUUCUAACUUAAGCACAAAACAGUCAAACAUAUCUGUUCCAUUCAGGGAACCAUGCAUCUUAGUCUGUCUUCUUGAUGAACUGUUACUAGUUACCCAAAAGACCAAAAUAAAGGAAGAUAACUGGUUUAUUACAUGUCCCAUUGGACCAGCAGGAUUAAUUCAGAGUUUUGCUGGUGCCCUUUGACACCAUGCUGCUCUCCUUGGACUUGCUACCACCCUUGGGAACCAUGUUUCCUUCCUUAGGCUUGCUGUUGGUUUUUGCCUUCUUGGGGAUGUUGGAGAGCUUCUCUUCUGAAGUGUUCUGAGCAUUAACCUUGCGAAAAGAUGUAUUCAAGUUCUUAAUAACUUUGGUAGGGAUGGAAGGAGUCAGAGAGUGACAAGCUAAACAAUCUUUGUCCAUACAAACAGAUUUCUUAAAUCCUUUUUGCAAUUGUUGCAGUCUGCAACUCCUUCUUACCUCAGUUUCCACCAGUGGACCCUUUUCUUUCCUCUUCCAAUUCUGAUGAAGAGCAGAUGUUGAGGAGGCAGAUAUUUCCUGAGAAUCUCCCUUAGCAGAAGGAGUAUUUUCCUGAUCCUAGGGAUUAUUCAUUAAACAUGACACACUAUUAGAAUCUGGGCAUGAUUCUGGGAUGGCAAAAGGCAGGCAAUUCUUAAUCUCCUUAUUCUGAGCAAUGAUCUCCCAAACUUGAGACUUAAUAAAUUUCUGAGCCCACUCAAAUUUAUCAGGAGUAAGAAAAGUGAUAGAGAGAAAGUUAACCCACUCCAUAGGUACCUGAAUGAUGACUUUGCUGUUCUCCUUAGGAGAAAAAUGAGUUUCCUAAGUGAGGUCUCCUUCCUUACCAAGCAGUUCUUCCAGUGGAAAAUCUGGGGAAUUGAGGGUUGUGGAACUCUCAGGAGGUUGCAAAUAAGGUAGGUAAAUGGGUUGGGAAAACCCAGGAGGUGCAGAAGUUUCAGAGAAAGAAUCACCUGGAUUUUGAUCAGCUCGGAUGGGAAUAUCUUUAGUGUCUUGAGUCUCAGGGAGAGGAGGAUCACUGUUUGAUUCUGUAGCAAGCUGAUGUGCCUCUUGGCCAUGCUCUACUGCAGGUAAAACUCUGUUUUGUUUCAAAAUAAUGCCUCUGUCAUCAACAAUGCUCAUGUCUUUUCCAGUUCUCUGAGAAACAACUCUGUUUUCCAUGUUGCUAAUCCUUCCAAUGGGUGACUUCUGGCUAGAUGUUGCAGGUGUAGUGUCAAUCUGCUUGUUAACAUAUGAAGCAGAAUUGAAAACUUCCAAUUGCAUUGGAUCCUCGGCAGACCAGAUGGGUUCAGAAUGAUGUUGCAAAAUAGCUACCAGGCUAGGAUCUUCAUAUAGUGACCCAGUAACCUGAUGCUCAUGGGCCCUUAUGGGAAUUGGGUCAAUCUGUUCCUGAGGCCCAACCACCACAUUCAAAUCAGGGAGGGCUGGCGCCAAAGGCCCAUUAGCAGAAGCAGCAGUCUCAGCAUUGUCAUUUGGGGGCUCCUGUGACAAGGUGAUGUUACUAUCUCCUGGUCCGAUCAUACCCUGCUGAUCCCGAACCUCCUCCAUGGGCUCCAUAAUCUCAUUGAGAUUCAUAAAUUCACCAGCAUGUAAUUCCUGGUCCACAAGCUCAUUCUCUGCAGGCAGGGCCCAGUGGCCCCAUCCACGUAAAUCUGGUUCAUCUUCCUCCACCAGAGCAUUAUUGUUAGGAGCAAGCUGCAGAUUGAGAUCAUGCUGUGGAGGUUGAUCAUGAUGCUGUAGAGGACCCAGAAAGUGAUUAUGCUGGUUCUGAUGAAAAUUAGCUUGUAGUGGGACUGGGUGAGGGUUGCCAAAAGGAGGGAUUGGGUUCUCAUCAGGAGCUACUCUGCCCAACAUGGUAUCCUGCAAGAUCACUACUGGAACGGAGAAAGUAUGCAGGAUCAAGUAUCUUUUCUAUCCACAUGAUGCGGAGGAAAUUCUUAAGAUUCGUAUUUAGGCCUCUAGGGAUGGUGAUUUUGUUGCAUGGCACCACGAGAAGAAUGGUAUAUUCUCUGUUAAAAGUGCAUACCAUUUUGCGCUUAAAUUGAAGGAUAGUCAGGAUCCUGUUGGCUAAGCUAGUGGCGAACCAGAGGUGGAAAGAGGGAUUUGGGAGUUAAUAUGGAAGGCAAAUAUCCCUCAAAAGAUCAAGAUUUUUGCGGGCGAGCUGCUACCAAUAGCUUGGCGGUCCAGAUGAAUUGAGUUAAGCACCAUCAGACUGAUUCAUGUAUGUGUUCUAUUUGUGGUAUACAAGAUAAAGACAUCUUUCAUGCUCUGGUGAGCUGUUCUAAAGCUCGUGCUCUACGACUGGCCUUGAGAGAGCUAUAGAAUAUUCCGGAUGAAGAGUUCUUCAAGUGCACGGGACCAGAUUGGUUAUUGAUUUUGCUGGCGCAGUUGGGCUUGCAGCAGAGGGAGCAAAUCUUUUUUCUUUUCUGGCGAGCAUGGCAUUUGAGAAAUGAUUUAAUUUUUGGGAAUGGAAAAGAAUCCGUUAAUGCCUCUGCAUAUUUUAUGGACAAUUAUUGGCCACUUUCACGUCCAGUCACGACACCGUUCAAUUGAACGCUAGCAAAAAAGGUAAGGAGAAGGAGAGCGCUGUUGUUGCUGAUUAUGCACCAUUAAAAGAUCAUGUGGUGUGUACUCCUCCCACUGAUGACCAUAUCAAUAUCAAUGUUGACGCUAGUUUUGUGGAGAGUACUAAUGCAGCCAGUGUGGGGGUUGUAGCUUGUAAUUCUUCAGGAGAAAUUAUUGUUUCUUCGUGGGAUUUUAUUGAUCGGUGUACCAGUGUGAAUGAAGCUGAGCUACGCGCCUACCUUGCAGGACUUUAUAUAGGUAUCACCCUUCAUCAAUCUAUUGUUUUAGAGACUGACUGUGCUUUCGUACAUUCGUUUUUUUGCAAAUGAGAAGCUUGACAUGUCCUCUCUAGCUGAUAUGAUGAAUGAGGCUCUGAGUAUAUCCAGUAUGAUCCAAAAUUUUAAUAUUUCAAAGAUAAGUCGGAUUGCCAAUGGGGCGGCACAUGAGAUUGCUAAGUUUAGCUUUAGUACUAGGUUCGAUGGGAUUCUUUUUAAUUCUGUUCCGCCCUGCGUGGUGUAUGCUGUAACGAAUGAUUGUAAGAACAUUUCUCUGGAUUAAUUAAUAUAUGGCAUGUUUUGUAAAAAAAUAACCUUACCCCCUCCGAACAGAAUUAGCAGCAUGCAAUUAAACACCCAAUCAUACAGCUGUAAGAGCAUGGUUAAUAGUAUAGCCAGCUGCUGGCAAUAUGGACAUGCCAUGUCAGCAAGUGUUAACAUUAUUAACUGGUCAUACAAUAGAGUCGGCUAUAAGCUUGACUAUAAGCUCACAUUUUUUCGCUUUCUCUCUAUCUCCGUCCUCUCAUUAAAUGCUUUUGCCUAGGAGCACGAAUAGAGCCUAGCUCUUGCAUGAGAAUCCACUUCUUCACUUUUUCCUUGUCUCUCUCCUCCACAUAGGGAAACUGCUAUGUAAGCGGGCUUAUAACCCACUAUUGUACUUGCUCUAAGGAGAAAUUGAGAAAUACAAUAAGUGGUUGUCUGUCAUUAGUAAGUCUUGUUCGCUAAGUAUGGAAAGGGGAUGAUACGCGCCGGCGCGCUGGCCCAAAUUUGGGCCGGUCGCACUGCAGUCGUUUGAUGCAUCCUCGUGGGCAUUGGAUUCCAUCAAAAAUGGUUCGCCCUACUUCUUCCUCAUGCAGCGUCGUGCUUGUUGUCGCCUCCUGUUGGAGCAUCGCACCGCCCCUGCCGCUCCAAGCGUUGCGCCGUCCUUGUUAUGCUCGUCGUUGUGCUCGUCGCUACCAUCGUGGUUCGCAGAAACCCACCGCCAACAUCUCAUCCCCAUUGAAGCAUCGCAUGGGUAGUUUCAUGAGGAAAAUGGAUGUAGCAAAACAAGUAGGCGGUAGUAGCAAAUAAUAGAUACGAUUGCAGCAAAAACGCCUCGCUGUCAUCGUCACCGGUUGUAGCUCGCCGUGGAGGGUCGCAAUAAUUUGAGUCGCCGGUGUAGCAAAAGACGCCGCCGGUUCCAGCAAAACUGGCACCGCUGGUUACAACAUUUUGGUUGAAGCUUUCUCAAUCUCUGGUAAAAGAUUUUUCAUCUGCUGGACGAAGCUUUUUUUAAACGGUUACAAUUUUUCAUGUGUUCGAGAAAGUCUGGUUCAAGCUUUUGUAAUGGCUGGUGCUACCUCUUGAGCACUGCGUUGGUUUUCCCUUGAAGAGGAAAGGGUGAUGCAGUAAAGUAGCGUAAGUAUUUUCCUCAGUUUUUGAGAACCAAGGUAUCAAUCCAGUAGGAGGUCAUGCUCAAGUCCCUUGUACCUACACAAACAAAUAAGAGUCUCGCAACCAACGCGAUAAAGGGGUUGUCAAUCCCUUCACGGUCACUUACGAGAGUGAGAUCUGAUAGAGAUGAUAAGAUAAUAUUUUUGGUAUUUUUAUGAUAAAGAGUAAAAGUAAAGAAAGCAAAGUAAACAGUAAUGGAAAUAACGGGAGAUUAAUAUGAUGGAAAAUAGACCCGGGGGCCAUAGGUUGCACUAGUGGCUUCUCUCAAGAGCAUAAGUAUUACGGUGGGUGAACGAAUUACUGUCGAGCAAUUGAUAGAAUUGAGCAUAGUUAUGAGAAUAUCUAGGUAUGAUCAUUUAUAUAGGCAUCACGUCCGUGACAAGUAGACCGACUCAUGCCUGCAUCUACUACUAUUACUCCACACAUCGACCGCUAUCCAGCAGGCAUCUAGAGUAUUAAGUUCAUAAGAACGGAGUAACGCUUUAAGCAAGAUGACAUGAUGUAAAGGGAUAAACUCAUGCAAUAUGAUAUAAACCCCAUCUUUUUAUCCUCGGUGGCAACAAUACAAUACGUGUCGUUUCCCCUACUGUCACUGGGAUCGAGCACCGCAAGAUUGAACCCAAAGCUAAGCAUUUCUCCCAUUGCAAGACAGAUCAAUCUAGUAGGCCAAACCAAACUGAUAAUUCGAAGAGACUUGCAAAGAUAACCAAUCAUACAUAAAAGAAUUCAGAGAAGAUUCAAAUAUUGUUCAUAGAUAAUCUUGAUCAUAAACCCACAAUUCAUCGGAUUUCACAAACACACCGCAAAAGAAGAUUACAUCGAAUAGAUCUCCAAGAGAAUCAAGGAGAACUUUGUAUUGAGAUCCAAAGAGAGAGAAGAAGCCAUCUAGCUAAUAACUAUGGACCCGAAGGUCUGAGGUAAACUACUCACACAUCAUCGGAGAGGCUAUGGUGUUGAUGUAGAAGCCCUCCAUGAUCAAUGCCCCCUCCGGCAGGACGCCGGAAAAGGCCCCAAGAUGGGAUCUCACGGGUACAGAAGGUUGCGGCGGUGGAAUUAGGUUUUCUUGGUGCUCCUCGAUGGUUUGGGGGUACGUAGGUAUAUAUAGGAGGAAGAAGUAGGUCGGUGGAGCCACGAGGGGCCCACGAGGGUGGAGGGCGCGCCUGGGGGGGUGGGCGCGCCCCCUGCCUCGUGGCCGCCUCGUUGGUUGCUUGAUGUCCACUCCAAGUCCUUUGGAUCAUGUUUGUUCCAAAAAUCACGCUCCCGAAGGUUUCAUUCCGUUUGGACUCCGUUUGAUAUCUUUUUUCUGCGAAACACUGAAAUAGGCAAAAAAACAGCAAUUUGGCUGGGCCUCCGGUUAAUAGGUUAGUCCCAAAAAUAAUAUAAAAGUUUAUAAAUAAGCCCAUUAAACAUCCAAAACAGAAUAUAUAAUAGCAUGGAACAAUCAAAAAUUAUAGAUACGUUGGAGACGUAUCAGCUGGCUGAAGAUUUUUCAAUCUCUGGUUGAAGCUUUUGUUAAAACGGUUGCAACUUUUCAUGUGUUCCAAAGUCUGGUUGAAGCUUUUUUAUCUACUAGAUGUAGCAUUUUGUGUCCAUGGUUGUAGCACGGGCACCGCCAUUUGUAGCUGUCCCGGCGUCACGGUUGCAUCUCCGCUAGUCGCCAUGGUUGUAGCAACGAGGCACCUCUGGUUCAAGCGUUUUGGAAUGCCGCCGGUUGCCUGUCACGUGUUGUCGUGUUUAACUCGGAUGAGAGAUGGCCGUCGGGAAUUAGGGGAUCGGUCCCCUCGAGCAUUGGUAAUCGAAGAGAAAAGGACUGGGGAGAGGGAGCUCUUAGGGGGGGAGGGGGAGGAGGGUUGCGACGGCGACUUGUUGUGUGGGACGGGCGGUCGGAGCUGCAACGACGCUGUGGUGUGCGGAGCUGCGUAGCUGAGCGCGUUGACGAGGAAGGGGAGGGGCACGCGUUGUUGUCCACAAGAUGGCGAUGGAUCCCCUGGCUCGCGUGCGACCAACCGAACGCUCAGCCGACGCAGCAGCUCCAAACGUUUUCCAUAUGGAAAAGGGUAUCUAAUGACUGAAAGUGCAUACAUAAAGGAAUGGAGGGAGUAUAUAUCAUGAAUGGGAAAUUUUUGUUUAUUUCCAAAACUACACGAUUAAAUGGAAACAAGCGCUAAUUGAUUUCGCAUGUUAAUCCUGCAAAAUAAUCUAAGAUUGACAAUCAGGGAAAAUCAAUUAAUAAUUUAGUUUCUCUUCGCAUGUUAAUCCUACAUAAUAAUUAAUCCCUCGAAUUUUGGUUUAUUCCAGAAACAACAUGCCCGGGGUUUUCUAUGCUUGUUAAUUCGCACCAUGAUAUUAGAUUAGAUAUGUGUGUUAAUUGAUAACCUUCUAGUGCAAUCAAGAAAUCUCUCUGUUACUUGUAAUACAGCCCAUUAACGGUGGCGCAAAGGGCGAGCCCUGGCGGCAUCAACACACUGUUUAAUCGCUCGCGCUGCCGUUCCUGAUUGGCUCGUUGUGGCUGAAACGAUGUUUUAUUUUUUGGUGAGAAACCUUCCCAGAUAACACCUCCCUCGGUAAAACAGAGAUGGAGAGGAAGGAAUUUUCCUUCCUUCCCCUUGAAGGCAGCCCAGCUCUUCCUCUUCGGUUCCUCUCACACGCAUCCUUUCCUUCCUCUCUCGUCCCCUCCCUGGUGCUCCGCCGCCGCCUUCUUUCUCCACCAAAUCUACCCCGUCCCAUCGUCCUCAUCCACGGCCAUCGAGUGAAGGAGCCUGAGCAGGUGAGGGGGUGGCUCUGGGAGUCGAUGGUGUCUCCAGAGCGGUCGAGAGGCGUUGGGUCGAAGGCGUCGUGCCUCGGUGGCCGGGAUUGGGCAAGUCAGAUGGGAAGCAACGAUGCCGGAAAUUGUUCGCUGCGCCUCCACCUUGUCCCUGGCCCUUCUACGAGCACUUUCUCAUGUCCACGGGAGCCCCCUUUCCACCGAGCUCCAGAUCCAUGACACUAGCAGCGAGGUGAGCAGCGGCAAAGGCUACCACCUAGCAACUCCUCUUUCCUCCUCUUUCAUCCUCUCCAACCCGUCUGGAGGUAUGCCCACUCUUCUUCUCUUCUUCUUUUAUACAACAAAGAGGAUAGGCGCAAAUCUGAAGAUAGUAGUUUAGUUUUCCUUUUAUUUUGUAUUGUUUCUCCAUACUACAAAAUUGCAACUUGUGUUUCUUUGGAAGCAAUAUUUUCAUCAUAUAUCAAUUUAGAUAGGCUACAUGGGGACCUUUUGUUCUGACCAGAGUUGAUGAUUUGUCUUAGGAUACAGUUGAUGAUGUAGUUGAAGAUGAAUGGUUCUUACUAAGAUACAUCUGUAUAUGUAUGUGGUUUCUUUGCUUCGGUUGGAGAUAUAUGUGUGGCUUAAAGAUAUAUCUGAAGUUAAAUUUCCAAGACAUACCAUCCGUCAGUGAUUAUGUAUUAAUGAUUGUUGGGAACUCCUAUCUUACUGACGACGCCCCUUGUAGGUAAAAUCUCAUCUAGACUACUAGAUGAUCCAAGUGAACAACUAUUUCACUUUCAGCUUGUAUAUCACUGUCUGGCCAUAGAAGGUUAGAUGGUAAUAUUGCAUCCAAGAAGAUGGGUGCCAACUAUUUAAAACACGCCUCUCACAAAAAAAGUAUAAAAGGAUUGCUAACUUGAGUCAUGAGAUUGUUGAGUUUAGUUCGCCAUCUCUUGAAUUGGGUGAAUUUCAUCACAAGAAAGAAGAAGGAACUUGAAAUCCAUUUUUGCAUUUUAAAACAAGUUGAUAGUAUUUGUGUUUCCUUAAUGAGUUGCUAGAGUUUCUUUACAAAUGUAUUGAUGAGAGGCUAUGCAAUGAUCCAUAUAUUCGGUAGGUGUUUAUUUUGCACUAUAAUUAUGUGAAGUCUUCGUCUAUACAAAACAUUUGAGGGGUGGCCGAACUGAAAUAAGUUGACCAUGUAUGGAUGACAAUUCAAUGACUAAUGGUUCUCUUUGGCAAUUAAAGUGGGUUAGAAAGUUUUCUUUAGCACACUAACUCUUGACUUCUUUUGUGAUCACGAGGACUGGGAUCAUGUAUUUGUUUGAUAGAUUAUGUAAACUGAGAUCAUAUAUAUAUAUAUGCUACCACGCUACAUGUCUCAUAUACUACCAUGUGCUACUAUAUAUACUUAUUUAUUAUUUUAAAUAUGUUCAUAUACUAUAUCUAAGAUAUUUCAAAGCAAGUUACAUGAAAAAAUUGCAUAUGAACCCAUAGUUUUUGUUAUAUUUGUGAAAUACGUACAUAUUUGUACGUAAAAAAUGGCAUACUCAAAACAAGGUAUAUACUACCUAACCAUUGUUAUAUACUACAUACUAUACGUACAUACUCUCGAUUUCGACAGAUACUACAUACAACAUACAAAACGCAAGUGGUGGUAACUACCACUNNN